GUUAUAGUCGACGUUGAUUCAUCAUCUUUAACGUCUCUAAUUCAAAACCGAACAUGAAACUUUGGUUUCAUUCGGCUCCUUUAUGGAAUAUGGAAAAAUUUCCAGCUAUAAGAAGUGAGCGAAAAAAAAAUUCGACACAUAACAUCUAUGUUAGCUUUUCUGUCUUAAUGCAUUCAAAGCAAGGCGCUUUCUAGAUGAUCCCUCUAGACGAGUGGGGGUUUUUUAAUCUUUCUAGUUACUUCGUUCUCUAAUAGUGUGUUGAUGGAACAUGAUAGAACAUGAACAUUCAUAUUGCCCUCUGAAAAAAAGAAAACUUUAAAAGGAAUUAUUUUGAUUCAACCAUCUUUUUUUUUUCGACUUGCCCGCUAAAAUUGUAUAUUUUCAAUUUAAAUUGUAUAUUUUAGAUACCGAAAAAUCACAUAAUAUACCCAGUUAUUUUUAUCUCUUUUGUACGAUUCAGAAAUAGUAACUGAUUCCAUAAAUAUAUGUUAUGGAAUUCACAAAAUAAUUAAUUUAUCUUAUUAUUACUCUAUCUUAUUAUUAAUCAGGGAUUUCGUAUAUAGCUAGAACGACCCUCACAAAUUGCAAAUACUAAUUUAUUAAGAAUUAGUCGGAUUGAAGCUAUAGCGUCAUCAUUUGCUGGAAUCGAAAUAUCUGCGAGAUCCGGGUCACAGUUUGUAUCAAUUAAACAAAUCGUUGGGAUUCCCAAAGUGAUACAUUCCCGAAGAGCCAUAUAGUCUUCUUACUGAUCAACGAUUAUUACAAUAUCGGGUAACCCCGUCAUAUAUUUAAUCCCACCCAGAUAUGUUUGCAAGUGAGCUAACUGUCUCUUCAACCGAGCCGCAUCUCCUUUCGGAAGACGGUUGAGUCUACCUGUCUUUUGUUCCAUUCUCAAGUCCCUGAACUUUUGAAGUCUAGUUUUUGUAGUGGACCAAUUCGUUAAAAUACCGCCGAGCCAUUUUUUAUUAACAUAAUGACACCGAGCCCUUAUUGCAGCUCGUGCUACUGAAUCCGCCGCUUUAUUUUUGGUACUUACAAUUAAGAAUUGUUUUCUCUUACUUGCUGCAUCAAAAACUAAAUCACAAGCUUCUGAUAAAAAAUGAGCAGUUCUAGUAAGAUUUGUAAUAUGAAUACCCUUACGCUUUAUAGAAUCGAUCCCUUUUGAUUGUACAAGAAUAUGUGGAGCUCAGUAUGUUUGGAAGCACAGGAGAACGUUCUUUUGCUGAUAUUAUUACCAGUAUUCGAUAUUGGGUCAUUCAUAGCAUUACUAUACCUUCCCUAUUCAUUGCAGGUUGGUUAUUCGUCAGCACGGGUUUAGCUUAUGAUGUAUUUGGGAGCCCUCGUCCAAAUGAAUAUUUUACAGAGAGCCGACAGGGAAUUCCAUUAAUAACUGGCCGUUUUGAUCCUUUGGAACAACUCGAUGAAUUUAGUAAAUCUUUUUAGGAGGCCCAAUGACCAUAGAUCGAACCUAUCCAAUUUUUACAGUACGAUGGUUGACUGUUCACGGACUAGCUGUACCUACUGUUUUUUUUUUUGGGUCAAUAUCAGUAAUGCAGUUCAUCCAAUGAUAAAUCUAAUCCUAAUUAAUUAUAAAACUAUGACACAAUCAAACCCGAACAAACAAAAUGUUGAAUUGAAUCGUACCAGUCUCUACUGGGGGUUAUUACUCAUUUUUGUACUUGCUGUUUUAUUUUCUAAUUAUUUCUUCAAUUAAUAGAAGAAGAAGAAAAUAAAAUAGUAGAAUAAUAAAUAAGAAUAGGAAUUCUCUUAUCCCAUCGGAAGGAUAUCAUCUAAUAAUUAUCUAUGACUGUUUAUGUCUCUAGCACGACCACUUGAUUAAAUGUGGAGGGAAGUGGGAUAAAUGGCCGAUACUACUGGAAGAAUUCCCCUUUGGAUAAUAGGUACUGUAACUGGUAUUCUUGUGAUCGGUUUAAUAGGAAUUUUCUUUUAUGGUUCAUAUUCCGGAUUGGGUUCAUCCCUGUAAGUAGUAAGUAAUCGGGUGAACUGAGUUGUAGACAUGAAAGCGUAAGAACUCAAUGGACCCCCUCCUUUCUCUGUCUGAUUCGAGGCCGAGGGGGUCCAUAAUAAUCAUAAUACUUUAUUCGUAUUUUAUACGUAAAAAAUCAAUUUUAUACGUAUAAAAUUGAAAAGGAAGUUAUGAUAAACCUAGAAAAAAUAGAAGCUAAGAAUAGUAAUCUUUGAGGAAUGGGAUCAAGAAUCGUUAUUAUUUUGACACAAGAAAGGGAUGUGGAAAAUUCCUUUUCUUGUGUCGAAGACUAGGAAGACGAAUAAAAAGAAAAAAAAUAAUACUUCCUAGAAUCCUUUGUUCUCCCUCAUUUAGCCUUUGUUUUUCCGCUUACUUAUCUUAUGCUUAGUAUCUAGUCAAAUGGGAUUCUAUUAGAAUAGAAAAAAGCUAUUGAUGCACUCUAUGACAGUUAAAUCGGACAAUAAUAAGAUAAUCACACCGCUCCCGUUUUAUUUAGAUUCAAAAAAAUUAGAUUAAAAAAACACAAAAAAGGGGAUAAAGUCAAAUAGUUUUCUUACCAAUAUACAUAUUAUGACUAGAAAUGCGGUACAAAUAAUUCAAAAAAUCUGGUAUAAAAAAAAAUUUAAUUUUUAAAAAGCAAAGAGCUUUUCAUUUUUUUUGAUCAUAUAUAAUUACCAACUGUUAUUCGUUUUAAGAACUUGAUGUUGAUAAAUUUACAGAUCUAGAAAUUCAUUUCGGACAAUUGAACCUUCUCAAACUGUUUCUUUUUAAGAACCAAAAAGAUUUGUGACAUGUAGAAUGGGACUCUGUCUUUAUUCUCGUCCGAUUAAUCAGUUAUCUAUCAAACUAUGGAGUGAAUGAUGUAAUCAAUUAAUAUUCAAUCCUUUCUUCAACUUGGAAUCAAUUCAAAUCAAAACAAUUCUUUUUUUUUUCAUAUAAAGAUAAAAAAUACGGAUUCGGCCCCCUAUUAAUCAUCUGAGAUAUUAUUUCAGUACGUAUCUGUAUGUAUAUAUGGUUAUCCUUUACUUUAUCCUUUAUGGAAUCUGGAAUUUUGAUGGAAGGAUUUCUUUACUUUACUAAUGCAACGCAGUCAACUCCGCUUGUUAGAACAGCUUCCAUUGAGUCUCUGCACCUAUCCUUUUUUUUUUUAUUCUGUCUUUAUGAACCUUUGUUUGUUUUCGAAAAACAGGAUUUGGCUCAGGAUUGCCCAUUUUUAAUUCCAGGGUUUCUCUGAAUUUGAAAGUUAUCACUUAGUAGGUUUCCAUACCAAGGCUCAAUCCAAUUAAGUCCGUAGCGUCUACCAAUUUCGCCAUAUCCCCUUUUUUGUUUUGAGAUUCAAAUCUUAUUAUUACCCGCCUUUCAUUUAUAUUCUAUUGGAACUGUUGAAGUUAUUAGAUACCGAUUCCUAUAAAAAUUGCUAUAACUAUAAAAAGUGUUUCCUCUUCUUUUCUUUCUUGUCUAUCUUCUUUCAUCUCUAUCAGAAAUCCUUCUUUAGUCUAAUCAGAAAGGAUUCUAUCAUUUUUCUAUCCGCAAUUCAAUAUAGAUGUAUAUAUACCACAUUUAUUAUAUAUACUUCUCUUACUCUCAUUCUUUCUCGUGCAAUUUUGAAUAUAACGAAAGUUUCGUAAGGGGACUGGAGCAGGCUACCGUGAGACAAAAGAUCUUCUUUCUAAAGAGAUUCGAUUCGGAACUAUUAUUUGAGUUGCUUAGUCUUAUUUUUUUUUUGUUUUUAAAAUCUUGUAUAUUUAGUUAAAUAUGUAUCUAUCAAAAAUAUAUACAUAAACAAAAUAUAUACAUAUACAAUAGAAUCCUUGUAUGUAUUAGGAUCUUUGUAUUCGGCUCUGUAACACCCGGAAUUUUUUUUUUAAUAUAUAUUUAAUAGUGAGUUUUUAUUUAAGUUAAUUUUAGCUUUAUUUUUAUUCAAGUAAACUAUUUGAGAAAUGAUUAUAUUUUGGUUAUUCAAAUUUUCCCAAAUGCAUAUUUAUAUAAAUAAAAUUAUAUAUUGGAAAAUUAUGAUAGAAAUUGUAAGGGAUGUUUUUAUAAAAGAAUUUUGAGAAAAUUGGUAUUAUAAUUGAUUAGUAGUAUUAAAUUUUGAGUUGGAAAUUGAUUAUUUAAUUUAAUUGUGUGUAGGAUUUAAUUGGAGGAUUAUAUUGUAAUAAGAAAAAGUUCAGGGGUCAAAUGUCGAUAUUGAAGGGAAAGAAAUCGGGGAAGAAGAAAGGAGGAGAGAGGAAGAGAGAUGUCGGGGGAGAGAGAGGAGGCGCGGAGGAAGGAGCUGCGGCGUCGGGGCCGUCUGUCCGGGGCGCGGGGCUGGCCGGCGAAGCUGCAGGCGUCAGCGGCAGCGGCACCAGCGGGCGACGGCAGCAGCUCUCGCGCGAGGAGGAAGAUGGCCGAAGCUUCUUUGCCGCCGUGCGGGCGUUUCCGGCAUCGGUGGUCGCUGAUUUUGGUGCCGAUCGACUCCUCUCGGCCUCGGCUUUGUUUUGGCGGCAGCGGUGUCGACAGUGGUGGCCGGAAUCGGAGAUUCACGGUGGAGAGAGAAAAUGGUGGCAGUCGGCGUUUUUGGCUUUUCCGGCGAGAUCCGGCGGAGGAGGGAUGAUCGGAGGACAUAUCCCGACUCUCCUCUGCUCAAGCUUCGCGAUGGCACUGAUUUCGUGGCGAUCGGGUUUCGUUUGCGAAUCGACGGUCGAGAUCGUCCGCAAAUCUCUCCGGAUGAUCGGGUGUCAGAUCGGAGAAAUCGGAAGCAGGGAUCGUCAUCAGCGCGUCGUUGUGAGUCCGAUGGUGUGUUCGGAUCGUCGAUCGGACUCCGGCGGCUGGAGGCGUGUCGACCGAGCGAUCGAGCGUCUCGGUAAUUUUCUUUAGCCCGUUAUUUUUAGAAAUUCUUGGUUUAAAUGUGGCUAUUAAGAUAAUUUAUGGUUUUAAUAAUAUUAAUUUGAGAUGAGAUUUGUUUAAAUCAGUGAGUGUCAGGCUUACUACGGGUUUCGGUGGCCUUAAGCCUACCCAUUCCCUAGUGCCGGUCACGGGCCCACGGGUGGGGUCGUGACAAAGUUGGUAUCAGAGCUUAGGUUUAGAUUUCCUUCGACCUAAGUUAAGAUUUUUCUUGGUACUGCGGAGUUAGGAUCAUGUCUGUCUUGUUGUUUUCAUUGACUCCAGUGUCUCAGCCUUCACUGUUAGAGAGUCAGUCUUUCCUUUCUUGUAAGCUUGUCCUUGGUGCUGUGCUGAGAAUAUGCCUUGUAGCGAUGGGAAGAUCCGAAGCGCGAUAGACUCGUGCUGUUUCUUCAAGUGAUUAGUGCAGUCCGCCUUUAGAAGCUUUGAUUGUGGUUUCGAUGGUGGGCACCGCAGUCUGUUUUAGUGUAGAGCGUGGUUGCAGUCAUGUCAUGAGCUGCCUCGUCAUCGCAUCAGGCAUCGUCUUUUUGAGUAGCGCCGAAAGUAGUGCCUGGGAAGUCGAGUAGAUGUCAGAGCUUUAUGGUUGAGUUUUGUGGUUGUAAGAAGCUUAAGAAAGGUGGCAGGAGUGUUUUCGGAUGCUCGAAAAUCCAGAGAAACUUAAGCGAACAUUAUUUAUUUUUUCUAAGUAGAACAAGUGUUUUAAAAUACAAUAUUGCGACCAGUCCCGUAAGAAUGCAUAUGGCAUUUCACUAUUAGGCAUACAUAAAUUCAUUUUAGGACAUGCAUCAUACAUUGUGCAUUGCAACCCUUGGUGAUAGGGGGCAUCAUCACCCUGGCGCGCGAUAUUGUGGAAUUUUAUAUAAAGAAAAAUGGCUAGAGAUUUUACGAUUUUGUAAAAGUGUUUUUCAAGAUAAUAAAGUUUUUAUCAGUGAUGAUUAUAAAGUAGGUAAAGAUGUAAUUUUUCAAAGUAAAUAGUGUUAGCUUGAGAAUUCUCUGGAUGACGAGUUGAGUUGUUGAGAGAGUGAGUUUGUGGAGCUGUAGGCCCCAUGUUAGAUAAUAUAGGACGCUUUUGGAUUUUAGUCAAAGAGGAAUCUUGUGUCAGGAUGGCAUGGUUUAUAUCGGUUGAUGCGAUCAGAUGGAUGUUAUGUCGUUGAUGAUGUGAUGUAGAUGUUAAGGAUUUUUCUGUACGUGCAAGGGGCACGUCAUCAGGAAAGAAAUUUGGUGAGUGGAUUUUUGGCAGGAUCAGAAUUGGCCCUUCUUGUGUGGAGACCCUUGGUUUUGUCGGCAGGUUGGUGAGGUGGCAUGUAAGUUGGACUUGCCGCCAAGUAUUAGUAAUGUUCUCUGAGGUCAAAUCCAGUUGUUCGUAGGUCUGAGUUGAGGAAGUAUAUUUUCGAUCUUUGCUCGUGUUAGAUUCUCAGUGUGCGGAAGCAAGUGAAGAUUUGGUUUCGGAGUUUUGUCGUUAAGUCUUGUGGUUUUUUUUUUCUGCCGAGGAAAGUUUCCGAAAAGCCGGGUUGGAGAUGAGAGGUUCCUAAUUAGUUUCAGUCGUAAGUGAAGCCCCUUUUCUUUUAAAAUUCGAGGUCGAAUUUUUUUUUUAAGGGGGGGAGAAUGUAACACCCGGAAUUUUUUUUAAUAUAUAUUUAAUAGUGAGUUUUUAUUUAAGUUAAUUUUAGCUUUAUUUUUAUUCAAGUAAACUAUUUGAGAAAUGAUUAUAUUUUGGUUAUUCAAAUUUUCCCAAAUGCAUAUUUAUAUAAAUAAAAUUAUAUAUUGGAAAAUUAUGAUAGAAAUUGUAAGGGAUGUUUUUAUAAAAGAAUUUUGAGAAAAUUGGUAUUAUAAUUGAUUAGUAGUAUUAAAUUUUGAGUUGGAAAUUGAUUAUUUAAUUUAAUUGUGUGUAGGAUUUAAUUGGAGGAUUAUAUUGUAAUAAGGAAAAGUUCAGGGGUCAAAUGUCGAUAUUGAAGGGAAAGAAAUUAGGGAAGAAGAAAGGAGGAGAGAGGAAGAGAGAUGUCGGGGGAGAGAGAGGAGGCGCGGAGGAAGGAGCUGCGGCGUCGGGGCCGUCUGUCCGGGGCGCGGGGCUGGCCGGCGAAGCUGCAGGCGUCAGCGGCACCAGCGGGCGACGGCAGCAGCUCUCGCGCGAGGAGGAAGAUGGCCGAAGCUUCUUUACCGCCGUGCGGGCGUUUCCGGCGUCGGUGGUCACUGAUUUUGGUGCCGAUCGACUCCUCUCGGCCUCGGCUUUGUUUUGGCGGCAGCGGUGUCGACAGUGGUGGCCGGAAUCGGAGAUUCACGGUGGAGAGAGAAAAUGGUGGCAGUCGGCGUUUUUGGCUUUUCCGGCGAGAUCCGGCGGAGGAGGGAUGAUCGGAGGACAUAUCCCGACUCUCCUCUGCUCAAGCUUCGCGAUGGCACUGAUUUCGUGGCGAUCGGGUUUCGUUUGCGAAUCGACAGUCGAGAUCGUCCGCAAAUCUCUCCGGAUGAUCGGGUGUCAGAUCGGAGAAAUCGGAAGCAGGGAUCGUCAUCAGCGCGUCGUUGUGAGUCCGAUGGUGUGUUCGGAUCGUCGAUCGGACUCCGGCGGCUGGAGGCGUGUCGACCGAGCGAUCGAGCGUCUCGGUAAUUUUCUUUAGCCCGUUAUUUUUAGAAAUUCUUGGUUUAAAUGUGGCUAUUAAGAUAAUUUAUGGUUUUAAUAAUAUUAAUUUGAGAUGAGAUUUGUUUAAAUCAGUGAGUGUCAGGCUUACUACGGGUUUCGGUGGCCUUAAGCCUACCCAUUCCCUAGUGCCGGUCACGGGCCCACGGGUGGGGUCGUGACAGGCUAAAUCCUUUUAGUAAAAGAUUGGGCCGAGUUUAAUUGCAAUUUAAUUAAGAGAACGAACAUCAAUUAGUAGAUUACAAAGUAUCCAUUGCUGGGUAAGGACAGAGUCAAACUUGGAUUUAAAAAAAAACUUUCCCUUAUUAGCCGGAGUACAAGUGUACUCCUUGAUCUUUAGUAAAGGCGGAUUAAGCCAAAAAACAUUUUUUUUUCGAAAAGUCUCAACGUCCUCAUUGAGAGUCGCUCUGCGAGACGUCCAGUAGUCUCUGACUUGGUCUUCGAAUCGUAAGUUUCAGCCCGUUCCCAGCUUGCCUCGCUUUCAGGUUGGCCCUUCUACUUGACUAAGUAGUAUUUCACUCGCGCAGUGGGUGUAUGGGCUAGCGCAUGGUGCGGUCAGCUAUGAUAUAGUCAACUUCUUCUUUAGUAAGUAGGUUCACCUACAACAUCUGGUGGUGCCCUUGCGGGCACGUUCCUCUCUGGGUCGGUCUGGUCUAAUCGAAGUCAACUGACUCACAUUAAUAUUAAUAUAAAUAUAUUCAAAUAUAUUAAAAUAUUAAAAUCAAAUAUUAAUAUUAUUAUAUUAAAAAUCAAAUUAUUAUAUUAAAAUAUUUAAAUAAUAUUAAAAUAUUUAAAUAGAUUUAUAGAUUUACUUUAUUUAUUUACUUUUUUUUUUCUAUAGAUCUAUCUUAUCCAUAAAAAAAUCUUUUUAUGGGUCGCUUUCUGAAGAUUAUAUAUAUAGUUUAUGUACUUAUUUUAAAUUGAGUAUAUGUUCUUCUCAAUCUUUUUUUUUUCUGAAGUUCUUUUUUUUUUCGAUUGAAAAUAAAAGAUAUAAAAGAUAAAGCUUUUAUUUUUAUGUCUUUUUAUUUUUGUAGUUUUAUUUUAUUCUUGUAUUUAUAUCUUAUAAAAUCUUUUAAGAGAGAUAAAAUUGAAAUUUAAAUGCUAGAAAUUGAAACCCUUCUACUUCUAAUAUUUAAUUACUUCUAAUAUUUAAUCGAAUAUUUAUUUUUAAAUAGAGUUAUAGGAUUAGGGGCGGAUGUAGCCAAGUGGAUCAAGGCAGUGGAUUGUGAAUCCACCAUGCGCGGGUUCAAUUCCCGUCAUUCGCCUUAAGAUUUAUUAACCUCUUUUUUUUAAUGUCAUAAAUAAAGUAAUAAUUUUAAUGAACGACAAAAGUCAGAAAAACAAUUUAAAUUGUAAAAUGAAACUAAUAAAUAUACAUAUCUUUAAUUCUAAAUUACUAUUACUCUAAAUCUAAAUUACAAAAUACUAUUCACUAUUCAAAUAUCUAUAUUUUCCUUUUCAAUUUAAAUGAAACUUUUAAAAUGAAAGAAAAUUUUCAAUUAAAUUGAAAUUUUAUUUAUUUAUUUAUAUUUAAUAUUAAUUUUAUUAAUUUUAUUUAAUAUUAAUUUCAAUUUUUUUAUUUAAUAAUAUUAAUAUUUUUAUUUAAUAAUAUUAAUAUUUUUAUUUAAUAAUAUUAAUAUUUUUAUUUAAUAACUCUGGAACCUACAUGCUGAUGCUCACGAUUUCGAUAGCCAUACCAGUGAUUUGGAGGAGAUUUCUCAAAAAGUAUUUAGUGCUCAUUUCGGCCAACUCUCAAUCAUCUUUCUUUGGCUGAGUGGCAUGUAUUUCCACGGUGCUCGUUUUUCCAAUUAUGAAGCAUGACUAAGUGAUCCUACUCACAUUAAAUUAGAAUAAUAAUAUUCCAUGUUUAGAAUAAUCUAAUUUUUCUAAUAUCUAAUAAUAGUAUUAAAAAAUAAUGUUAUUAUUUUAUAUUUUAGAUUAAAAUAUUUAUUUAUUUUAUUUAUUUAAUAUUUAUUUAUUUAAAUAAUAUAAAUAAUAUUUAUUUAUUUAAAUAAAUAUUUAUUUAUUAUAAUAUUUAUUAUAAUUUAUUAUAUAUAUUAUAUAUUUAUUAUUCUAAUUAUAUAUAUUUAUUAUUAUAAUUUGAUUUUUAUUAUUAUAAUUUAUUAUAUAUUAUAUAUAUAUAUUUAUUAUUAUAUUAUAUUAAUAUUAUAAUAUAAAUAUAUCUAAUGGCCUCUCACCCGAUUUGGAAUAGAGUAAUAGUAAUAUGUUCUAUGUAAAAAUAAUAAAAAAAAAAAACAUAAGUAAAAUAUAAAGUAGUCUCGGCUAGAAACUUUUAAUUAAGAUAGGAAUACACUAGGUUGCACAAAAAAUUAUUUUUGCGUUAAUUCAAAGCCCAUAAAGGUCCGUUGAGCGCCUUGUGGCUAUGUCAUAAUAGAUCCGAACACUUGCCCUGGAUCGACUUCCAGAUCAUAAUUGCUCUAGUGAAUAACUAAAGAAACUAGAUAAGAUAAAUGGGAGAUAGAAGAGAAAGAAACUAAUUAUAAUUAUUAUUUUUAUUAUUAAUUAUUAUUUUAUUCUAUUAAUUUAAUAAUUUAAAUUAAUUAUAAUUAUAUUUAAAUUAAUUAUUCUAUUAUUAGUUAUUUAUUAGUUAUUUAGUUAUUAAAAAGAUUUCUUAUAAUCAUUAAAAUUAAAAUUCGUAUAUAAUUAUACUAAGUAUAUCUAAGUGAGUAUAUAUAAUAUAAUAAAAAUAAAGUGCAAAGUGCGUAGAACUAACUAAAUGACUUAUUCAUAUUUCUACAUGAAAUAUGAUAAUCCAUUUAUUUGUUAUUUUUCUUUUAUUAUCUUUUUUUUUCUUGUCUUAUAAAUUUCAUUUUUCUUUUUUCAUUCUUUUAACUUUACUUUAAUAGAAAAUAUUUUAAUAUAUUUAAUAUAAAAUAAAAAAAAAUAAAGAGUUUUUCCGAUUAUAAAUUCCCCCAAAAUUCGUUAUAAUUUAGAAUCCGUCGAUUUUUUUAGUAAAAAAAAAUGGAUUCCCAGGAGAUAUAUAAAUAUGCAAGACUCUAUAUUUUCUAUGCAUAGGUAAGAAAAGAACAUGAAAUUCGUUUUAUUUAUUAUACCUUGCCCAUUUUUUCACGAAAAAAAGAAUUCACUCUUUUUCUUGUUGAUCUUGUUGAUAGAGGUUUCUUAAUUAGUAAUCAGAAAUAUCGGUAAAAAAAAAUUAUCUACAUGAUUCUUUCUACAAUUUACUCUUAUGUUAUGUCACAAAAAAAUCAAAAAAAAUUGAUUUUUCCUUUGAUUCUGCUAAAAAAAAUACCUGCUCGCCAGAAAUAAAAAUGAAUUAACUAAUUUUAAUUUAAUUAACUCAUUUUUAUUUUUAAUUUUAAUUAAGUAAUUUAAUUUAAUAUUUAAUUAAUUUAACUUCAGACUCUACUUGAUUUAUGAUUCAAAGGAAAGAAAUCGUGGAGCUGAAGUAACUCAUUCAGAACGACUUUUAACGGAUUACGUGGUACGAUUGAAUCGAAUAAGCCCUUAUGGAAUAAAAAUUCGGCUGAUUGUGAACCUUCAGGUACUGUCUGCUAUCAAUAACUGCAUGCAUUGCGCGGUGAAUGUGAAGAAGUAAACCAUUAUCUCGGCAAUAAUGAGCCAAGGUAGUAUUUGCAGUGAAUCCCCCUGUUAAGUAGUCAUGCAUUACGAUAGGAACUCCUAAUUCUCUGGCAAAUACAGCCCUUUUGAUCAUUUCUUCGCAUGUACCUGCAGUAGCAUUCAAAUAAUGUCCUUUGAUUUCACCUGUUUCAGCCUGUGCUUUAUAAAUUGCUUCGGCACAAAAUAAACCCCCCUUUUUCUGAACCCAUCUCACAUCAAUAACUCGCCCCCUACCACCUAUAGGUAGUUUUAGACAAGUUUCCUUUGAAGUAGAUACCUGAAUACCAAGUAUGGCUCUUAAUAAUCUAUCUUCGGGAGCAUACGAUGAUUCUUUCGCCAUUUGAGGCGUUAAUUUACCUACUAAAAUAUCGCCCGUCUCUACCCAAGAUCCUAGCAUCACAAUUCCAUUUUUGUCCGCAUAAUUUUGAUUUUGAUUUACAACUCCUAAUCAAAUCAGAUUGGUUUUUCUUUUGUUUUUUGUUUUGUUUGUGUAAAAAGGAUUUAAAUUGCUCCAAUAAUAAAUAAAAAUAUGAGCAAUAUAUCAUAUCUUGAAUGUUUCCUUGGAUCUAGAUAAUGCAAAGCGAUGAGUUGGUUAUUAGUUGUAUAUUUCUACUUAUUAGUUCAUAGUAUGAGUCAGUCCUUUUUUUUAAUCCUGAACCUAAAAAACCAACGAGUCACACACUAAGCAUAGCAAUUAUAUCAAAUUAUCAAUCGAAUUUUUUAUUUUAUUCAACCCUAUAGAAAUAUAAUUCGAAUUGAUUCUUUUUUUUUAAUAAUAAAAAAAAAAGAAUCAAAGAGUUUGUCAUUUUUGUUUUAUCAAUAGAUAGAAUGUAAAGACAAGUCAAGUAAGGGUUUAUUAUUUUUUGUCUAGAAAUGUCCAAAUUUUUAUGCCUAAUACCCCAUAAAUGGUUCUAACUGUAUAUGAACAAUAAUCAAUUUUAGCCCGAAUGGUUUGUAGAGGAACCCUACCCUCUCUAAUCCACUCGACGCGGCAUGGCUAAUAGUUUUGGGAAUGGUCAGCCUCUAUGUUUGAGGUCUCAGAUACUAAUCAGAAUGAAAGGAUUAAUUCUUGCAUUACAGACAAUAUAAACGCAAAGAAAUAAAAUGCUUUGAACAAUUGUGAAGGUUUUGGCUGAUUUUUGUAUGUCUUCAUGCACGUGCUUUCUUGUGUUUUGGUAGGCUGUAAAUGGGGGGGACUAUUGCUAAUAUCCCGAGAAUGCUUUCAGUACAAGAGGUUCGUUGGACUAGGCGUAUACUGGAAAGCUAAAGGUGAACAUAGAUACUGAUGUUCAACCAGGAUUAGUGGUUGUUGGGUACGGUUGGAUAGUGAAAAAUCAUAUGGAAGUAUUUUUAUGGUGUGAGGAAAAGCAAGUACAGAACAAAUGAACUCCAAAGAUUUAAGGGAGGUCUUAGUUUGGAUCAGGUCAGUUAACUUGCCUAAUAUUAUUAUCAAGGCAGAUGCAAAAAAUUACCGUCGAUCAUCUUCAUUCCCGUCUAGUGGACAAUUCUAAUUUUGAAAAAAUUAUUUGUAAUUGUAAAAAAAUUGGCUUUAAUGACCAAUAUAAUGGACAUUGUUUUCACUAAACCACAGGCUAUUAGAGUAACACACAUGUUAUCUAGUAAAGCAAUUGUUGAUAAUAUUUCUAUGGUUUUGCAACAUCCUCUUAAUAUUAUGGAGCACUUGCUUUUAUUAGACAUUGCCCAUUCUUGAUUUCUAACGAAAUUUAUCUUUUCCUAAAAACAAAAGAUGAAAAUCAGUCACAUUCCACUCAAUAUUCUUACACUUUCCUCGUCGAUACAAAUUCAAAGGCAAAAAUGUGUUCGAAUUGAAAGUCUUUGAUAUUUUCUCGUGUUCUUUUUAGCACAAUAAGUACGUAAAAGACUAUCCUUAAAUAUAUUUCAUUCCGUUUUAUGAUAAACAAUCUUGAAGCUAUAUAUAUUCCAUCAAAAAGGAAAAAGUUCUUAGAACUAAAUUAAAGGUGGAGGGAGCAAAGAUGAGAGGGUGAUAGGAAAUGAACUAAAACAUACGGUGAAAACAAUUGAUUGCAGCGAGUCGAGAUUCAAGCUGGCUGUUUUUGCUUGACACAGCAGAAAAUGGGUAGAAAGCAACAACGGCAAUGGCAGUGGUUACUAAAAGGAGAAAAAUGAGAUCGUGUCUUUUAGGAAAGCAUUAAAUAACCUAAUUCUUUUUAAUAAUCUUUUAAAAUUGAGUUGCACUGAAAAUUUUGUUUUCUUUAACCUCGUACUGGUAGAAGUUUAAGGGGUCGUGUUUGUUUGGCUUUCUGGAACUCACGACAACCAGCUGCUACCACGAAUGAUCACAAUCUCCAAGCAUUGACAGAUGAGCCAAUAUUCAGGUACCAACAUUUCUACUCAAGAUUACCACUUGUCCUUUGCUUGUGCACUUGGAAUAUGUGGUAUGAUAUGUGAAUUACAUGUAAGAUCCCUGACAGGCAUAUGCAAAACCAUUCCAGGAAGCAACCUUGCAAUAUGUAUUGUCAAUCCUUACUCUACCCAAUAUUAUACAAGGCACCAGACUCUUUGUCUAGUGCGGGUAAUGCCACCAUAUGAUCAGUAAAUGGAAUUUCAAUCUCUAACUCUCUCUCUCUCACCUCACUUCUCUUUUUUGAGAUAAUUUCUGGCAUACAACUGCUUUUCAUCUUCUUCCUCGUACACUAAAUUGUAACUAAGAUCUUCUGUGUUUUUUUUUAAGUUUAUUUUUCUGAUCGUAUAUUAAUCUGAGCUUCGGAGGGUUUCCUAUCUCUUUUGCAGGUCUCCUCUGCUUAUCUGCUAGCAUUACACUUUCUAGAAUUUUUUUUUUAUAAAAGUUAAUGAUUUCUACGUAUCCAAACUUCCUAAGAAAAUAUGGAUUAUGCCUCCAACUUCUAGUGCUCCAAGUAUCGCAUUGAGCUUUUUCCUCAUCACAACCACAAUUUGCAUUUUUAUUGUAGUAUUUACGUAUCUUAUGUCUAUUUUAUUAUAUAACCAUAAUUUGCGCUUUUAUAUUAAUAUUUUAAAAUCUUAUUUUGAAUCUAUAUUUAUCAAUAAAAAUUUGAACCCAAUUAAAUUUGUGAACACUAAAUGAGCAUAAGAGUUUUUAGCUUUUUAGAAGUUUGAAGAGUCUCCAUAAUUAUUCGCAACCUUAAUGAGUAGAGAAGUUACUUUUUUGAAAUAGUUCAAGUGCUAAUCAUUUUGCCCUUUCGCCAUGAAAAUAAUUAUUUAAAGUCAGAUACUAUUCCUGAACUAGCCAAAGCCUAGAGAUUAUCUCUAGUAAUUUGGAGAAGCUUAUAUCAUCUAAUAAAAAUAAAAACAGGAUGGUUACUCAUGUGUUUCUUCACUAAAUAUAUAUAUAGUAGCCAAGAAGGAAUUACUCCACAUUCUCUUGAAAAUCUAGUUCUUGCAUAAAUAGUCACACAACAAAACAAAUCUAACUUCCAAGCCAUGAGAUUAAGACAAUGUCAUGCUCUUUUCUUUUUCUUACUAAACAUGUGCUAAUUUACAGUUCAAUAAAUAUAAUCAUCAUCAAAGAUCAUAUAAUUGCUGCUCCUCCUAGCUCUUUCCUCUCUAUCAGCCUGGAAAUUAACAAUAAGCAAAAUAUGAUGUUGUUCAAUUAGUGCAUAGAAGAUCUAUAUAUAUAUAUAUAUAUAUAGCAUGAUUUAAUCUUUCAUGAAUUAAUUAAUUCUACAUAAGCGUACCUUGGUUAUGAGCCUCUCAAAAGCUUCAGUUCCAUGCUCUUCCAUAUAUUUCUCAGCAGCUGUUAGAAUGUCAUCUUGUUUGGUAAACACAUCCUUCUUUCUUGGGACGUACCAUAUUCUUUGAGCAGACGACUGUGGAUUCAUGUAGAAUGGUCUGAUGAAAUUCUUAUAUACAUAUGCUGCUCCAUUGAAUUGUGGCAACACCAACCAGCAUGUCACUAUCAGUUUAGCAAACGGCCAGACGGAGAUACUGCCAUUAACAGUAUAAACAACUUAAUUAGCUGAUUUCAAGUAUGUGUUUCUUGGCUGCUAUGAAAAUGUUCGCCUUGGCUUCGUUUUUAAAGAAAGAGGAACCAUGUCUCAGAAUGUUCAGAAGUGUAAAAGAAACAAGCUUUUACCAUUCCAGGAUUUUUGAGAAUGUGAGCUCAAAUAUGGUCAUCAUGGAAUACAGAACCCAAUAGGUUAGCCAUUGCUGGUCAUCAGUGCGAGAUUUAGUCUCUAUAGCUUUGAUUGAAGCAUAUCUGACAAAAUCCACGUAAAGCCAUUAUCUAGAGAAAAUAAAAGGACCCAAAACAUAUCACUACCGCAUAAAAUACAAUUGUACUCGAGAAUACACUUACAAGGGGUAAACAAGAGUCACUAGUGGCCUGCGAAUAAGAAGUAGAAACCAAUCUUAAUUAGAAAAAGAGCCAAAUAAACACAAUGCAGUGCUAACACGCAAAAGAAAUAGAACCCAAAAAUUCAAUGUUGUGUAACAUUUGUAGGAUCAGUUACAUACAAAGCAAGAACAUCAAAAUUAUUUGCCACAACUUGAAGAAAAUUCCCAGAGCCACCCAUUUCUUGUUUUUUGCAACUCAGGUUUCUUCUUUUCAGGUGCAGGACUGAGACUGAGACUGAGAGGAAAUGCCACUAAACACUUGCUGAAAAGAAGAUGAAAAGGUCAAAAAGUGGUAUAUGUAAAAGUGGGAAAAGGAGACUUUGGCAGGAGCUACAUUUUCCUGUCUUUCUAUAGAAUCUUAUGAUGCACAAGAAAAGAGGCACCGAUUUUUUGAAAAAUCAUCUAGUGCGGUUCCAUUGAGCUUGUAAAUAGAGCAAACUGCCAAUAAAAACUCGCCAAAUCCUUUCACCAAAAAGAAAAAUUAAAAUAAGAAUUUGCCAAUUCAUGAACAUCAGUCCUUGACAUUCUGGUUUCUCACUUAAUUUGCAUCACCUCUACCCGUAUCCAUCGUAACGAAUAUAAAUAUAUUGUGGUGAUAAUUCAUUCUUGCUGCUCACAAUAAUUCCUAUAAUGGUGUCAGGUAGAAAAAGGAAAAAGAAAACUGAAAUAAAGUAUUGGCCCCUCUGCACUAGCAAUAAUGGAGAAGUUGGUCAUUUUAUGUGAAAUCAAUUUCAAAUAUAUAUAUUUUAAUCCGGACAUAUUAAUUGAAAUAUGUGUCAUGAUUUUCUUUUCUGUUUACUAGAAAGAAUCAUUUCAUUUCUUUACCAAAUUAUGGGAAAGAUUGUAUGAUAUCGUAUUACAAGAGAAACUUCUUAAGGGGUAUGAUUAUUCCAGGUGAAACCACACUGUAUUGAAUAGAUUUUAUCGACUAAGCCAAAAAUAUUCAUACGCUAAACUAAUAAAAACUGAAAAAUUCAAACUUUGUUUUAGUAUUGUUUCCUGGUUUUUAAAUCUUAGAGGAAAAGUUUUUUGAAAAAAUAGAGGAAAAGAAAAUGUGAAUGAAUACUGACAGAUUUCAAGAAUUUGAAGUAAAAUAUCAAAUAAAGGAUGGGGCCUUUAGCCUUUACAUAUAGACUAGAUCCAUUAGAAUGGGUCUCGAGCCCCUUAAGGGCCCAUUAUUUCCCUCAGUAUGGGCUAUCCAAUUAGUAGAGAGUAACGGGUAGCAUUCUGUAGUUCUGCUUAAUUAUUGGAACUUACACCUAGAAUUUGGGGGGAUAUCCCUACUAUUUUAAUUAAGAGAACUGUACUAUGCUCAUUUCUGCUUAAUUAAUUGCAUGGUAAUUACUGAGAGUUAAAAAGAACUGAGAUGUGCUAUGCAAAAGUAAGUACGACAUAUAUAUAUGCAAUAGCCGGUUAAAGCAAACGAUUCCAUCUGACUACCUAUUUGGCCUUUGUUACAUAUAUGCACUAUGCUUACUGAAAAGGGUUUACAAAUUCUUCACAGUGCAGCAACAAAAACUGGAGAGCAGAUACAUAGUUAGUACUGGCAUCGCCAUUUACAAAACGUACCAUUUCUUUACCUAAUAUGAACAACACCAUCUUGAAAGGAUAAAAUUCUGUUUAUCAGCUCUAUAUAGAAACCAAGUAAUUAGUACUUGCCCAUACACAUGAUGCUAUUUGAAUUUAAUUACUUGUACCUAGCCACAUAUUUUCUGAUGUCACCAUUAUAUUAUAUUUAACUCCUCAGUAGGCUAGCUAGUAGUUUAAUGCUCGAGUGUUUAUUUCAUAGUGCAGUAAAAAGAAAAUUAAAAUCUAGACAAUCUUGUUUAAACUAACUUAAAAAUAUAUUUAAAAAAAUGUUAUAAUUAUAUUAUUUUACAUGAUUAUUUAUAGCACUCUAAGAAAAUAUAUGAUGACAAUUACCGGGACCCAAGUGCACGUCCUUGUUAGGGGCUACACUAAAAGGUACUUAGCAAAAUGAUGAGAUGGUUUUAAUUAAUCAAGUUUUGCAAAAUAUUAGCAAUUUGAAAUUGAGUUCCUAUUUCAAGUAUAAAGUUAGCUCAUAGAUGUUCGUACUUUGUCCUGCCAGUUAUAUGAUUAUGGAAGACAACCUGCAAAAUUAUCUCCUUAGUGUAACCACCGCUCAGUGUGUGUGUGUAUAUAUAUACGAAUAAUACGAUGACAGCCUACCAUAUUUUGCCAUUAAUAAAUGGAGAUAGUAGAUCUGCCCUUAUUUCAUCAAAGCUUGGGUCACAGUGGAGCAUGUCCUGCCUUUUUACAUAAAGCCUCCAACCCAUUACAGACCAGGGUAGUUAGUGCUGUUCUUUAUGAAAUAAAAGAUGCAGUGAAACAAACAGGAUGAGAGUAAAUUAAUAUGAAAAAUAUAUUAGUGAUUCUAUUGGUUACAACCCCGCAGUCAGAGUUACAUAAUACUAGGAAUUCCUUCCCUUCUAAUGGUUGCCUUCUCUUCUUCUUCUUCUGGUCGAAUUGGCAUUUGAAAUUCAUAACUUUCACAGCUCUAAACGACUGCGAUACUAUCCAACAAAAUGAAGAUUUAUACAUAAUAUUUGUUUGCUAUAGCUGUCAUUGGAAAACAAAUGAGAGUUACGUCAUUUGUUAAGAACCCAUUAGAAAGGGUCUUCUCGUAAAAUGAUAUAACUUUAAACUCGAUUGAGAAGCUAUUUUUGGAAAUUUCUUACUUCCAUAGAAAACUGAGAAUAAUGCACACUUUGUUUAGUAAUAAUUAUUUAAAAUUAAAAGAAUAACACUCGUGUGAAAAUAUUUCUGGUGUGUGCAUUAAGUGUAUAUAGUUACAUUAAUAUAAAUACAAACACAUUUCUCAAUUAAAUGUAGAUUGUCGAGGUUCAUAUAUUCAACUUCCGAUUCCUGGAAUAACGAAAAGCAAAAUGAGUUCAAAUAUUUGGUAGCUGGAGGGAAAUUGCGCAAGCUAGGGUGUGUGAGGUAGUUAAUGUAAAUUAUAGAAUUAUAGUCCCAGUAAAUUAAGGUCCAGGAGUGACUACUUACUGACUUGUUAGGUUAAUAAUUAAGUUCAUGAUCUUCUCUUAGGAAACAUGCAAAUAAAGAAAAAGAAAAAAAGAAAAAAAGAAACCCCAACAGAAUUGCUGCAAGAGGAAGCCAAUAAUUAUUUAAAAUUGGUUAGAAGUUAAUAAUUAAUGCAAAAAGCUAGCAGCUUCAAUGUUGAUAAUUAUAUGUAUGCAUGUUGUUUCAUUUUCUCAAGACAAAAGUAAAGCCAACUGAUAUAAUCUAGCUAGAUCCAACAUGACGCAUUGCCUAUGCAAGAAUAAAAGAAAUGUUUGAUGGAGGGGUUAGAAUCAUGAUUCGAAUAAAAUGUCUCUGCCCACUUAAGGGUUUGCAAGAGCUAGAAAUGCCAUCAAGCUGAUACAAGACCCAGUUAUCAAGUACCGAGAGCGGGAACUUUAUACAAAUUUCUUCUUUUUUUCUUUCCCUUUUUUUCUUAAGAAGAAGAAGAAGAAAAGAGAGGAGGAAUGGUCUUGUUAUAGUCAGUGAAUAAUCUCUGGUUUUAGACAGUGGGCUGGAGCAGAGAGAUCUGAACCAACUGCCUUCUGAUAGGAUGACACCAUGAUAGCAAUAGGCCAACUGCAGAAGUGAAGGCUAGAGCCGGAGGUGCAUUUGGCAAAAUAUAAAGAUGAGAAAAACUAAAAAAAAUGCAUGGGAGCAAUGUGAAAGGCAGUGCAAUAAGAUCAAUGAAUCAACUUCACAGAGAGAGAGAGAGAGAGAGAGAGAGAUUUACAAUUGAGAGUUUCUUAAAACCUAAUAAACUCAAGUUGAAGUUAGUAAUGAGGCUUUACAUUACAACAAUAUUGCAUGCAUAGUAAUCUAUCUUUCUUGAACCAAAAGACAUGUUUUAGCCUUUUAGGUAGUGAAAGUUGCUAACAAACCAACAUUUUAUAAUUAUUUAAAGAAAAAAGAAAGAGUAAAGAAAUGAGGAAAGAAAUGUUUAGUAGCACAUAUUAACAAAAAAAUGGAGGCAAAUUACUCAUCAUGUUAAUACUUCCUUCAUCAAACCCUAACUUUUUUUUUCUGAUUAAAAGUCACACCAAAAUCGAAUACUAAACCCAACUUUCAAAGCAAUAUUCAAACUUCAGCCCUAUAUCUCAAAAUGCAUAUGUAUAUAUAUAUACUUAAGCAAUUAAUAUAUAGUAAGUAAAGAAAAGUAAAGCAAUUGAUCAAACCAUAAGCUUGCAUUUUCAUAUCUACGCAUGCUGACUAGCUAGUUGUAUCAUGCUCAUCCUUUCCUCCAUGGUGUGGAUUUGACCCACUUGCCGGAGACUCUGGGGCGCCACUGCCCAAAAUCGGCCUAUAUGCAUUGAACGCGGCCAGCAUACCUAAGUGACUAUCAGUAACAAUACUACUGCCACCACUGCCCGCGCCGCCACCGCCGCCGCCACCACUAGUUGGCGAAUCCAAUUGUUGGCUAGGCAAAAGAGCCAUUGGAGUAGGAAAAUUCAUAAAACGCAAACCACUGGACAUAGAACCUCUAUACAUACUAUUAGUACUAGCACUAAAUGAUGGAAAUGUCACCACAGGGUCACCACUAAUCACUUGAUUACUAUUAGGAUUAGUCACCAUCCAAAAUGUUGCCGGAGUCGGACUAUGAGUCGUUGGAAUUGUCCCAGAACUAGUAGAUUGCAAUAAAUAGCUUCCCAUCUGGUGGUAAUGACUCUGAGAUAACAAUUCGUGUUCAGACCUUCGCUUUCUUCCUAUACUAGUCUCCACAUCCCCAUGGGGUACUUGUAAACAAGUACUAGUAUCGCGUACUUCUUGCUUACUAACAUCGGCAGAAGUAGUAGCAGCUCCUUGUAAAACAACACCAGCACCGGUAUUCAAAGUCCCACCUGCAUUAUUAUUACUUGAACUAAUAGAACUAAAGCUUAAAGAAUCAUCAGGGAAAAGAAUCCUCCUUUGGUGCUGAGAAGUAGCUUCGUCGAUGAUUAUGCUUCUUUCCCAGUCGGUUCUAUUGCGCAGGUGCUGCUGAUGGGAAACGAAGUUGGGAUUGAAAUAAGUGUUCCUUAGAUGAUGAGAAGCUGAAAUGGAAGAACCAGAGCUGCGGAGUGAGAUGUUAAGAGAAGUGAAGUUGGCGGGAAUAGUACCAGUACCGGUGGCGGCAAUAACAGAAGGUUCAGCUUGUUGUAAUAACCAUUCAAUGGUUUCACCGUCAGACUUGUGGCCAAGUUCACGUGUGAGUUGAAAAACCCUAGCAGCACAGGUUGCAGGCAUACGGAUCCGGCGGCCGCGGCCUUCCACUUUAGUGUGACGGUCUUUGGUGGAGGUACGUUUAGGAGGAGGUUUCUUGGAAGAAGAAGAAGAGGAGAUAAGUUGUUGCUGUUGCUGCUGCUGCUGAAGAAGAUGAUGAUCAGGUAAUUGCUGUUGAUGCUGCUGUUGUUCUUGUUCUUGUUCUUGCUUCUUUUCUAGUAAUUGAAGAGGGAAAUUAGGCCUGGUGCGGAUCCCAUUUUCAGGUUCCAUGAUCAUGUGAUGUGGGGAGAGUUGGAUUAUAUUUAAAAAAAAGGAAAAAGAAAAUUUUUAAUUGCUUUUGUGCUGUGUUUGUAGUACUAGUAGUAUAUCUGUAUAAUAAGGUGACCCUCAAUUCACUCACUUGGGUGGCCAAGUGGGUCUAUUUCUUUCUUUUCUUUUCUUUUCUUUCUCUAUCAGUAACUUAUCUGUUAUGUGGUGGUGGCGUUGUUAGGGCUAUUAAGAGAGAGAGAGAGAGAGAGAGAGAGAGAUGAAGAAUUGAAUUUCUUCCCUUAGGGAUGGCAAGCUGAUCAGUUGAUUUGUUUUCUCACAAAGAGAUGAGAGAGAUAGGAGAAGAGGCCAAAGGGUGCAAGCUUUAAGCAACAUAUACAAUGAGUGAGAAUUAUGGAGCUGAUGGUGGGAUACAUUUUUAUUAAAAAGAAAAAAGAAAGAAAAAUAUUGUUACCAAACAAGAUCAACAGAAAGAAAAAGGAAAAGAAAAGAAAUGGUUUUUCUUUUUAAAUUUAAAGAAAAGAAAGAAAAUUCAAAGUAUAUUGUUGCCAGAUUUAUGGGGAUUUUACUUGUUUGUUUUAUCAAUUUAAUUAGAGGCGUUUAUUAUGGUUGGACAGUGGCUUGGUUCAGACUCCACGUGCGGUGCUAUUUAUCAUUCGAUCCAUAAAGACAGUGGUGGCCUGAGACUGAGUGUGGGGCCCCAACUCCCCAAGUCAAAAAAACUGAAGAAGAAAAAAAAAAAAAAAAAAGAUAAUUAAUUGUGGUUCCCAUUGCAUUUCAGUAAUCAUUGCUUCUCCUCUCUCUGCCUUUUGCUCUUUUGCCCAUUUGCUUUUCUUUCCCUUAAUCCAUUUUCAUCGCAUCUCCUCAAAGACUCAUUAUGUCCAAACUCAUUAUUUAUUCUAUUUUCUUUUUACAAAAACAGAUAAAUAAAUAAGGAUAGAUUAGGUAAAGAGAUUACCAGGCGUCCGCUUCCUAUUGGAAUUUUCUUUUUACUGUCAUUUUCGACUAAUUAUGGACUAUAUAUAGUUUUCUUAUAUUCGCUAUAACAUUUGAUAAAUAUAUAUAUGAUAACAGAAGUCAUUAGUCAUCCACAGUAUUAAUCCAUUAAUGGGAACCAUAUAUAUACUUAAAUCAAAAACUAUAUAGAAUAUAGAUGUUUAUUAAUCUCCAAAUAUCAGGGUUUAUGGUACGUAAUUAGUGGUUCAUCCUAAUAACUAUUGCAUGAUGCCUUGAAUCAGAGCUCACUUGAACGUCAAUCUCUCUAACCCUAUAUUUUCUUUUCUCUCCCUUCUAUUAUUCAGAGGGAUAUAUAUACACAUACAUAUAACACACAUGUCAAGACAAAUAACAAAACAGAUUUGAAGAUCCUAAAAUCAUCUUGAUGGAUGCUACUCCAACACCUCUACAAACAUAUUCAUUUCAAUACAUUUAAACCGAUGAAUAUUUGAUUUUCUAAAAUUUGGAAGGAAAGAAAUUACAUAUGUAAAUAGUUAACAAUAUGGUUAUGCAGAAUUAGUUUUAGCAGAUGUCUAAGGUAAUUAAUAAAGCCAAAUUUUGAGGUCUCAAUCAUAGGACUUGCGAGCCAUCCUACAAAAGGUUUGUGGUCCUCGUUAACAAAAUCUUUCUUAAGAAAAGAUUAUGGAGCACUUCAAUUUUAAUUUUCCUUUUUAAUUUAGUUUAAAAGCUCAAACUUCAAAAUUUGCCUUUUCUGUGAUCAUAAAGAUUUACAAGUAGAUGUUAUUGUAUCUCUUUGUCACAUACUAAAGAUCCAACCUAGUGGAUAAACUAAAUUCAGAAAGUUACAGAUGUCAAACAAAAUUUUCCAUUCUAUUAACAAUUUUGGACCAUUAGAUUUCAAAAUUUUUAUGCUGCCAAAGAACUAGCUAGGGAGACAAUUUCUUCAGAUGUAUCUGUAGAAAAAGAAAACCCUUAUCUAUAUAAUUAAUGAUCUCAAUACAAAAUUGGCUGGUCGUACAGACAAAGUUUUACCAUCACAGACACUAAUAUGACAUCAUUUUCCUCAUUCAGGAUAUAUGUAUGUUAUCACAGUUGAUAUAGUUACUGGAAAAAAUAAAAGAAAUUCUCAUUCAACUAAAACUGUAAUAAUUUUUUCUUCUAAUUAUUGCUUAAGAAAUGAAAAUUGUAAAAAUGUGUCAAGGUCUAGUCCUUGGAGUAACUGGAACUGAAGCAGUUUUCAAAUGGAAAUAAAGAUAUUGAAUUUUUAACUUAAUUCCUUCUCAAUUUGUUAUACUUAGUUUAUCUUUUUUAAUUUUAUUUCUUCUAUAAGAGCAAAACUUACAGUCAUAUGUUAAAUCAUAGAAUUUCUUUUUUUUUCUUUUUCUAUCAAUUGAAUUUCAACUAUGGUUGAAAUCCAAAACCUCAUAAUUUUAUAAUUUCCAUUAUGAAUAUGGAGCUCAAUAUGGUAAAUAAAAGAGUUGCUUUCUAUUUAAAAUAUAAAAUAAUAUAAUAUAAAUCUUUAAAUUAUAAAUCUCAUAUUUUCAUAGUCUUGUCUUGACCCAAUUCGUAAGAACAGUAGUAUCAGAAGGGGAAAAAAGUCACUGUGACAAAAUUCAUUAUUAGACCUACAAGUACAUCCUUCAGCUUCAGCCUUUUGUGUUGGUCUUUCCUUUUCAAUUUCCCAUAUUCUCUCUCGGAUAAGACUAGCUAUUUAUCAUUUGUAUACUUUCCCUCUAUCUCACCUGUGAAAAAUUCACAGUAUAAAUAUAUAUCAAAACAAAUCUUAAUUUAUUCAAGUGAAAAAUGAAAAUAUAACUGUUGUAUUACACAUAUAAUACAUAUAACAAAUUAAGAAAGAGAUAGAGAAAAAAAGAAGCAUGUCAUGUUUAAGACAUGUGCCUGAAGGUCUGAAAUGUAACUUGGAAGGGAACAAAAAAAUAUAUUCAUGGACAUAAAGUAGCUAGCAGCUGGCUUCAGAAAUUUUCAACAACCAACAUACCUAACCAAUGAUGAAAACCCAUUUCAUUUCAUCAAGUAAUUCUAAUCAUUAGUUUCUGCUAAUAAUGUUAUCACCAAAUUAUAUUACAUUUAUCACUUUGAUCAGAUUGAUAAUGAACAUUCCUAAGACUGAAAAAAAAUAGAAUAAGGUUGUGUUUACGUUUGAUGAUUUUGUACUAAACCUGAUUUAGAUGACACUUAGUCUUUUCACCCUUUCCCUAUUUUGUCUCACGUACACAAAUCGUCUAUCAGCUUUCUUUCUUUUAUUUUCUUUUCUUUUCCAUCGUCCUUUUUUUUCAUCAAUUUUUCUUCUUCUUUUUUUCAUUUUCUUAUAUAAAUUUCCUAUAAUUUUAGAGAUGAAACCAAUAAUAUCAAGGUUGUGUCUCAUGGAAAUGUCACCAAAUCUAACGACAUAAUCACGUUCCCAGUCAAAUCCUAACCAGAAUUUACAAUUAUUUUGUGUGUAAGCCUUUAGGUUAUCAACUUUGUCAAUGGUACAAUUCGUAUAGGUCAUAAGGUAGAAUCAAACCCAUAAUCAUUGAUGCUCUGACACUUACCAUGUUAUUCAUCUUAUUACAUUUAUCAUUUCUUUACAUUUUUCCUUUAUACCAUAUUCUGCUUUAUUUUAUUUUAUUUUAUUUGGUAAAGAAAACUGCAUAAAUCUUAAAUCUUAAAUCAUAGAUUUAUAAAUAGAAUAACUGCUUUCCUUUUAUAUAAAUCUCAUUAUAAGGUUGACGCAAUUCAUCAAUAUGUCGAAUAAACAAGCAAAGAGUUCGAAUAACUUGUACUUUCUAUUUUUUAAAUAUUAAAAAAAGUCGAUUGUAUCAAUUUAUUUUAAUAAAAAAAUAAUAUUAUAUCUGCUUGAAAUCUAUAAAAUUUAUGAAAUUUAUUUGUAAAUUUAAAACUUAUGCGCUUUGGUGAAAGUUAAUUUAGAUUUCUACAUAUUUAAAUUUAGGUGGAAUUAAUUAUAGUAAAUUCUAAUAAAAUAGAUAGAAUUUUCAAAUGAAUUUCAUAUUAAUUUAUUGAUGCAUUUCGUAAUAUUAAAAUAUCUUUUUCAAUUUUACUAUAACUUUAUUAUUAUCAUUUUAUUUUUUUCAUAUAUUUUUCUCAAAUGAACUGAAUUCUAAAUGGGAUUAUGAAAUUACGAAACAUAAUUUUUAUUAAUUGAAUCAAUCCAUUCAAUUGAAUAAGUAUAUUCCGAUCCAUGCAGUAAGAGUGUUUUGAAUCCGUUUAAUUUUAAUUUGAUAUUUUUUCCAUCAUAAUUAUUGUGAAGAAAGAUUCAAUCAAAUAUAACAUUAUGUUUAAUAUGGUCCUAUGAAAUUAUAUUUCAAAAUUAGAUCUGGUUUUUUCAUAAGAGUUUUAGUGGCAAAGAUUAAUUCCCCACAAAAAUUUCACUACAAUAUAUAUAUAUAUAUAUAUAAUUCCAAGCUGGCUAGCUAGAGAGAUAUAGUCAAUCAGAAUCAUCAAUUCAUAGGGACCACCUGUAUUAAUUCUUCCAUGUAGUUGGUUGAAGUUUUUUCAUUGACAAGGAAAUAUAUCUACAGAGAGAGAGCUCUCUUCUGCCCAAGAAAUUAGAAAUCAAUAUGCACAUAUACAUAUAUCUAUUCAGUCACUAAUCAUAAUUAUUUCCAUUUUUAAUCUCUUAUAGAUAUGGAGUCCAUACCUGCUGUUUGGUGCUCUCCAAAAUUACCCAUGUUUAGAUAAUGUAAUUAACUCAGUAGCAAUGCUUAAAAUUGGGCAGCCUGCGACUGAUUGGAAUAUAAAUAUAAGACUAGCUAGGACCCAAUAAAGAUAUAUGUAUUAAGGAUCAAAAUCCUUUUUCAUGCUAGCUCUAGGCCAUGAAUUGGCUUGACUACAAAUCCUUAUUCCAUAGUACUAUAAUAUUACAUGGUCCCAAAGCUAGCCAAGAUGAUGUACUAUAAAUCAACCAUGAAAGCAAUAAGAAAAAGGUAGCACUACUUUAAAGUGAUGAUAUACCACAGUAGUAGCUAAUGGAUGGAAUUUUUAUGUUUUUUUUUUUUUUGGGGCAAAUGCGUUGCUGAGAAAUCACGUGCCUUGCCACCCAUGCCGGUGAUAAAGAUGGCUCACCAUCCAUUUUGGCUAAUCAUGCAAACAAAUUUGUCGGAAUGUUGGCCGUUACUGAGCUACCAUUAAGUCAUUUUCUCCACUAUUUUUGGUCAAGAUGGUUUCAUCACUUGAAAGUUACAAACUCACUAACCAUCAUUCAUCAAAACUAAUGCAUGCCUUCGCUCUGUAUAUCAUUCUUUACAACCUUAACAUUCCAAGAACUUAGUUUUUCUUUAUUAUUACGUUUCCUACCACCAUUCAUUUUAUUAUUACGGUUUUUAUUAUAAGUUUUUUUUUUUUUUGUCAGUCACUACUACUAAAAUAAUUUUUUUAAGUGCUUAUGAUUAUGAAUUUAGAUUUUGAUCGAGAACCCCAUUGCUAUACUCAGGCGAUCAGAUAGAAAAAGUUAAUUUGUAGAUUAUAAGCCUCAAUUCAGAAUUAAAAAAAAAAAAUCUAAUGAAAGAUGAAACCAGACAAAUUUUAGAACAAAUAAAUUAUUAAAAAAACAAACAAAAAGAGAGUACUCCUUGAAGAUAUAAAAUAUUAAUACUGGAUUUGGGGUUUUAGAUUUUGAAGCAUGAGGUUUUUGGAUUUGGUAUAACAGCAGCGAUGCUUGCUUCAAAAUUAUAAUAACUAGGCAAAUAUCAUGAGUUGCACUUAUUUUAGGCUUAAAGAAGUCGGUUGAUGACCCUAAAUCUAUAUUAGAGGUCCUUCUCUUUCUGCCAAAAGUCAAGAUGUAUGAAAUUUCCAGAUCAAUUAUGUAUAUGUUUGUGCAUGCCUGCACAAGCAAAUCUGCCGACAUUAUUGUAAGAUCGGUAUAUAUAUGUAUAUGAAUAGUCAAAUUCUUGAUUAAUCAAAUGUGUCAGUGCAAAAUAAAAACAACCCAUUGCCAGAAUCAUCAGGUCAACUCAUGGGUAUUGUUCCCAUCCAAACAACGACUAGUACAAAAUUCUUUUAUUGUGGCCAACAAACACCUAUCUAUAUCCGUAUGAGUUCAUAUUCCGAGCUAAGCUAUGACGAAAUGCUACUCCACCUUUUAUUAAUACGGUGUGGAUUGGGCAUCAAUAGCUUAUUCCUAUGACCACUGACUGGAUUAAUUUCUCGUUUACAUUACUUCAACAAUAUCAAUAGAUUUUUAUUUGGCUUUUUUCUUACAUUUUUAUUCUUCAGAAGAAUGUUACAACUGAAUUAGUUGAAUAAUAUUGCAGACAAUCUGGCCAGAGUUCUUGUAUCAGUAUUAGAAACAAAUGGCCAAAACUUGAUGUGGUCUUAAAAGUUGACUUCAUAUGAUUACGACUCAAUCUUUGCUCAUAAACGAGACUGACCGACCAAGCAUCAGUUAGAUUAUUAAUCAUUUGAAAGAAGUUCUAUGAGUGUGUAUAUAUAUAUAUAUUAUAAGCUGAUAAGCUCUAAAGCAGCUAUGUCAUGUCCUGCUCCUUUGAUCAAGAUAACAUGUAGCAUGGUCCAUAUAUAUACCCAAAAAUCAAGGCAAUUUAAUAAAUAAUUAGUGUAAAGAGUUGCGGGUAAAGAAUGACCCACUGACGAUAAAUAUGAAUACAUUGCUUUUAGUGCAGCAGGGUACGGAAAGUGAUGAGGAUUCUCUUCUGUCUUUGAUCUGAUAGGGCUAAUAGAUCUCUUAAACAAGAGCAGCACAGGGCAUCCAUUCCAUGCAUCUAUUACACAUCCCAUUUUCAUCCUUAAGAUUAUUUGUGCAUCUGAUCCAACCUCUCAUUCUUCAUCUUUUAUUUUUUGCUUUUCUUGAUGGCCUAAUCUGAUCCUAGUAGCACCUACUAGAAUAUACUUAGGUUUUUAUUAAUUGUCUAUUGACUUCUUAUUAGUAUAAAUGCGUGUGCUUUUUGUAUACAUUUUAAAUAACUUCAACAAUGCUUUGUGGAUAUAAUUGAUCUGAAAAAAAAAAAAAAAACACACACACAUUUCAGCAUUGAUAAAAGAAGCCUAUCGUCAUAAUUUUGUUCUUCUUUGAUUGUCAGGAUUUUUUAUGUAAUAGAGAUAUCAUAUAAAAUGAAAGGAUAGAAGAUAUGCUAAUUAUAUUAUUAAUGAUUAAUAUAACCGUUAACAAGGACAAGUUAGUAUAAUUAACUAAAUUAAUCACAAAAACAUAUUAAUAUAAAUAGAUAUCUAAGUUAUUGAUUAUCCAUGCUCUCUUUGAUAAUAUAAAAAAAAAAAAAUGAACAAGAAUAUCAUAAAAAGGCUAUAUAUAUCAUUUUUUAAUUUAUAAAAGAUUCAAUAACUCUUAUACUAUAUAAUAAGAGAUAACUGAUUAAGGUCAUCCUUAUUUUUACAGAUACCAAGAAGAAGUCAUUAAAAGUUGACCAUUUUGUUUGUAAACAGUAAACAAUGAAUUCUUAUAUUUAGUUUAACCAAACAGACUAAGCAAAUGGCUGCAAGAACUGGUCGACGAACAGAGCCAGUACAAUUAUUUUUUUAUUUUUUUUUUGUAAAAGGAAAAAGAAAAUAUUAUAAAAAUAAAAAAUGAAUAAACUAAUGCACUUGCAUUUGCAUUGAAGAUGGGACCCACAGUCCAGCUCAGUAAAUGGGAAUGUCCUUCUCUACUCUCCCUGGCUAAGUUGGUUGUUUAGCUGACAAUGCCACGUCGCUCUCGACAGUUGGAAUCUUCCUCCUAGGGCUUACGCCAUCAUUCCCCCUCCCCAUCCUUUUGCCACGCGUCCGUUUGCUUCUCACGCUCCCCGCCAUGCCCUUUGAAAACUUUCUUCUUCCUUUUUCUUUUAAGGAAAAAGGAAAAUCUACGAGCAAUUCAAAUUCGACUGAUUCAUAUUUUCAUCAGAAGAUUCGAUUAUUGCCUUUGAGCUGAAUUCCAAGAGUUAUUUAUUUAUCGGAUUUUAUUUUAUAAUUCAAGAUUAAAAUAAAAAAAAGUUAAAAUUAAAGCAAAAGAAGAAUUAUGAGUCUAUAUUUUAUUUGAAAUAAAUAAUUUUUUUAUUGUCAAUUUCAAAUCAACACUUUAGCAUAUUUUUAACAAUAUAUAGUUUAAGUUCUUAAUAAGAUAAAGUAAUAUAUCAUAAUUCUGAUAAUUUGAUUCUUUUUUAUUAUUAUUAUUAUUAUUAUUAUUAUUAUUAUUAUUAUUAUUAUUAUUAUUAUUAUUAUUAUUAUUAUCAUCAUCGCUGAUGUUAUUUUGAGGUCUAAUAAAGUUUAUUUUCUUUCUAAAGUUUUUUUUUAAUCUUCAAAAUUACAAAAAUUGAAACAUUAUAUUUGUGAUCAUUGUCGACAGCCAAUGUCUAGUAUUCUCAAAUGUGGUGGGAAGUGGUGGUUGGUAGCUAAUUAAUACAUCUUUAUAUAAAUUAUAUUUUAUUAUGAUUUUGUAUAAGUUUAAAUAUCUUUUUUCUUUAAAUGAAAAAGUCAAUUUCCUUUUAGAAAUAAGUUGAUUCUCCAUUUAAGUAGAAACAUAUAUUUCUUUGUUGCCAAAUUCUACAAGAAGUAGCAAACACCAAAAGAUAUAGAAAAUAUUCUCCAAUAUCUACACUUCAUUCAUAUAUUCUAGUGUAAGAAUAUAUAUAUAUAUUUAAUCGGCCAUUUUGAUUUCCUAUGCGUAGAUCAUUAGCUUAAUAUAUAGUUAUAUACUAGUACUAUAAUGUCCAAUAUUUAGAUGAUUAUUCACAAAAUGAUAAUUAUUAUAUGAUCAUUUGUAUAUAUCUAUUUUGAAAAAGAAAAAGAAACCCUCUAUUUAAUUAAGAAUAAAUGGACCGUUCAUCCUUGAAAAGGGGAGGGAGGGAAAAGAAAAGGAGUUGGGUCACAUCAAGCAUGACUUUUAGCAUACUGCCUGCUUUUCUGGACUCAGAAAUGAUAAUAAAAGAUAAAAUAGAAUUAUAAAAAAAAAAAAAAAAAGUGAUGUGUCUGCUUCUGAAUUGGGCUGGGCUAUGUUAGCCGCCCAUGACCCAUUUAGGCUCCGCUCUUCUAUUCUAUAUGUAUAUAUUGUUACUUGCUUCUGUCCUUUUCUUUGUUGCUGCUGAUCAUUUUGCUUAAGAGUAAUGUCUUGUGUUGUUUUACAUGGUUAUGUUUAUGUUUAGAGGCUAAGUAAUGUGGAUUAUCUUUGUUAAUUAUAACAUUUGACCUAGUAAUGACCUCAUAACUUUUAAGGAUGUGUCCUUCACCAUUUUUUUACUAACUAUUAAUGAUUUUUAACGUUCACCAAAUUGUGACAUGUAUCAUAUAAGAUGCAAAUCAGUCUUUUUUUUUUUUUUUUUUUAAGAAAGGAUUUGUGAAUAAUAAUUUAAGGGCAGAAUUAAUAUUACUUUAAACUCAAUAGUGUAAAUGUUUAACCUAGAUUGGGUACUGAAUUAAAUAGUUAAUUGAUUUGACCCCAGUGAAAAAAUUGGUAUUGUUUUAAUUAUCAAAAAUAAAUAUAUAUAUAUAUAAUAUGAUAAAUUAGUGAGUUCUAGAAUUAAAAAAGAUGAAACACAUGAGUUAAAAAUAUAAAAUACAGACAUGAUAGACUCAAUUUCCUGUAAAUAAAAAGAAAAAGAGAAAAUUAUGAGUCAUUAUCCAUAUAAUUACGACGAAGAUGCAUCAAUGAUUUGAUGUGAAUAGGCCACCAAGAAUUUGAAAACAUAAGUCACCGUCACCAUUUAUGUGAAAACAUUUUAUGUCUCUGAUAAUUGGACCCACUAAAUGCUUGAUUUCCAAGUCGCUGCUUGCCACGUGAUUGACUAUUAAACUUCCAAAGCAGAAUUGCACUCUCCACUACCCAUUUUCAAUCUUCCAAUUACAAUCUUAAAUUUCUUUUUUAAUUGAAAAGAUAAAAUCUUAAAUUUUAGUAUUAUCUAUAGCUUUUACGAAUUUAUAUUAACGAUUUAUAUUUAAGUUCUAUUUCUAAGUGGUAAAGUAUUUGUUGUUGAAAUUAAAAGGACUUUAAAAUCAUAUCUUUCCUCCUCACUGUCUGAAUUCUUAUAUACAUUAACUGUAAGAUGUAAUUAACUCUUGUUAUAUAGUUUCCAGCUUAUUAAAUUUGUUAAGACUUUAAAUAAAAUAUUUAAAUUUUAUUAAACAUUAACUAGAUUUGUUUGAGUUUAGACCAUUACAAAUAAUUAAAGGGCACCAUAAAAUAAAGUCCCAUUUGCAAGUCUUAAAAGAAUGACAUCUCACACCAGCAAACAAGUUAAUUAAAAUCAUUUUAAGUUAGUGGUUUUCUAGUCUACAAUAUAAUCGCCCAAUUUUAGGUGUGAAAGGAUUACAGGAUGAGUGGGAAGGCAUAUAAUUUGAAUGAUAAUGUAAAGAGAAACUUGGGUAGCCCCUUGAAAAAAGAAAUGAUAGAAAGGUGUAGCUUUCAAAGGAAUAGGCAUUUGUAUGAAUGUUUACCUCCAUGAUUGAAGCAGCCUCAUCCAAAAGGAACACUUGCCACUAGUACCAUAGUCUAUUGAUAGAGAGAGAGAGGUGAGGUGAUUUGAUUAGUCUACUUAAUAUGUAUUUUUGUGAAUCAUUCGGAACCAAUUUUUGUCUAAAUCACUGCGCCGACAUAUAUUACUAUAGAUAUCUCCAAAGAAAAUAAGGAUUAUGGGAAAAGAUAACAGGUAUACUACUGUCUGUUUCUUUUCUUAUUUUCCCCAUAAUGAUUGAGCUAUAUAUACAGCGUAUACAACCAUUCUUGUUUCUAUUGAUAUUGACCUUUCAUCUCAAUUAUUUGAACCCAGAAAUAUUCUUGAAUUUUCUGGUCCAAAUAUAAUAUGGAGGUCCAAGAUUUUAAGCUAAUGUCUCUAUAUGUGGAUAAUGUGGCCGUAAGCUGUGUAGUAAAUGAGUUACGUUUACAUGCAGAAGAUUUUUACAUGUAAUCUAUUUAUUAACUGAAGUGGUUCCUCUAAUUAAUUUGCAUAUCCAAUACUAUUAUACGUAUUUUUAAUCUUAAAUUUUGGUUACCGAUAUGAAUUUCAAAAAUAAAAAUGUAUAAUAUUUUAAUUAAAGGGACAUUUAGUUGAGAGAUUAAAAGUAGAAAGAAUUUGAGAAAAUCACGGCUAGAAGUAUGAAUGAAAAAGAAAGUGGAUUUGAUUUUUUAGAAAUUCAAAUUUCUGGACUUGUCAAAGUUUUGUAUUCUAACCUGCUGAAAUAACCAUUUGUUUGUGCUGCUAUCGGCUUCUUGUCGGGAGCAAUCUAUUUCGUUUCUUUAUAUAAUUUCUCAUGUUAAUAUUCCAAAUUUCUCCUUUCUAAUGUUUUAUUUUAUUUGUUUUAGUUUUAUGGCUCUGUUAGACUUCAAUUACCUAAGUUUUUGGGUCUAUGUCUCGUACAUUUUUCAAUCAAACAAUGGAAAGUCUGUCUGAUGAAAGCUAAGCUAUAACUGGGCCAUAAGGCCUACGACGAAACUAAUCAUGCAAGGGUGCAUUGUUGAAGAAGUGCAGUUAGGAAAUGUAAUAUAUAUAUAUAUAUAUAUAUAAUAGAAAAAUCAAAACGCAGACCUUGUUAAUAUGGCAUGCUGCAAGAAGAGUCCAUCACGUACGUGCUACUUUAUCUCGAACUAAUUUAGGUUGUCAAAUUAAUUAACACAAACACCAAAAGCGAACAAACAUGAAACGAAAAUCGGCAGAAAGAUCCUUUAACACUGUCAUUUGUCAUGAAUAAGAGAUUACAAAGUUGUAAUCAAGCAUCACCAAACUCAAACCAGCACCAUUUUGUUGCACAUAUAUAAACAAUAAUCAUAAAAGAAAAGUAUGUAUUGGCAAUGACAUUGGUGAAGAGCCAAUUGUAAUGAUAAAGAUUUGAAUCUGUGGAUGACCCUUUAGGCUUUAGUAAAAGUGGGUGAUGGCACUUUCUUGCUUUUCAUGCAAAAAGGCAAAAUACAAACUGCAGCUAGGUAAAGAUAAUUGAGGCUAAGGCAACACUUUUAUAUGGGCCAAAAAAUUUCUUUGGAUUCGAAAAUGACAUCAACUUUUCUCCAUAUGCAUAUACUGAUAAUGCAUCGGCUUAGUCAUGUGCCUUUUUCCUUUAAAAAUCAUAGAAACGAAAUGAUUCGGUGUCUAAAGAAAUCUCUUUAAUUUGUUAGACACUCCCUUAAUUUGUGAAGUGAUAGCGCAUUAAGGGACAGUAAGGAUUAUCUCCCAUUAGUUGAGGACACAUGAUUGGGCAAUUAUUGACAUCAUCAUCAUCAUGCCUUUUAAAAAGCCACUAAAUUUAAUUAUUCUUGAUUUAUUUGUUUGCUACUAACCCUCGUGUUAGAAAGAUGGAUGAUUCGAUAAAAGAAACCAAAAAAGAAGGAAACAGAGCGAUAGACCUAACUAAUUUCAGAAAAAGUGAUACAAAAUGAUUUCAUAAUGUUUUUGUCAUUUUAAAGAUAUAGCAUGAAAUCGUUUCACAAUAUUUGAAGCAAAAGUUAAUUUCAAAAAAACUGAAAACGAGCAACAACAUAUGCUUUUAGUAAAUAUGUCAAUAAGUUGAUUUUGAGUACUAAAAUUGAGUAUGAUUGACAGAAAUAUAAUAUUAAAAUGCCAUUUUCAAUUUUUUUUCUCACCCGUUUUAUUUUAUUUCCAAUGUAUUUUCUUUUCAUAAAUCUUUUUAGUUAUAAUUUAUUCUAGUAAUAUAUUUUUAGAAUUUUCUUUUUAAUAAGUUCCAGGCAUACACAGGAUUAUCCAUAAUCUUCGGUAUUAUGCUUACUAAAAUCUGGCCGUGUGAAUAUCAAAAACUGCAGGGCUCCAACAAUGUUUGUAAAUAUUCAUGAAUCACGCGGCAAGCAGAGGUUAGAUCCUAUUUUUUCAGAGCCGGAUUAAAUUAACUAAUUGCACGUGUUUGUUACUUAGUAUUGGUGAAAGUCAAGUAAAUGGCUAUUUUUACUUAAUUGGUUUAUUUUAAAAGCUUAAAAACGGAAACAUUUACCAUAAAUAUUUUAAUUAUAUUACAUAUCUAGAGAAGCGAGGGGACACUGAGCUCCAACACAGGCCAUAAGUUUAGAGUCUUCUAUUUUAGUUUAUGAAGAAAUUGUUUGGUAUGUCUUAAUGUGUAUUUUGAUCAAGAAAGCGACCGAUAAUAUAAUACCCAAGAAAUAAUGCAACUAAAUCUGUGAUGGCAAAACUCACCACAAUACUACAGCCAUAUCACUCCGACACUUGCUUGAAAAUCCAAAUAGAAUUGACAAUUCUAAAGGAUUCAACAAGAACAGCCAGAAUUAUUGUUCUCAUCAACUUUAAAGAAUUGUACAAAAGAGAGAGAGAGAGAAGGCAUAAAAAACUAAUCGAGCGAGACUCUGAUCCAAAAUAUAUACAUGUGUAUAUACACCUUUGUAUGGCUUUGCGCACAAAACCUUGCUUUGUGGAGUAGCUGCUCCUUGAACAUGUUCAGACAGCAGCACUGCCGAAAAGAUUCCAGUCAUUCACUUUGAAGGUAGAGACUGCAAGUUUAAAGACUUCAGACAUUGGCAGAAAUCCAGAUUGUGCAGCAGGAGCUGCCAUACCAGCACCAACUGUUCUAGCAGUUUCACUCAGAGGACUGCAAACACACGGCAAACAAGAGCCAAAUGUAAGAGGAAACACGCUUAGCAAAAGCAACUUCAUUAUGGCGAAUGAAAAUCCACACUGGAAAGAAAAAGCCUGUGGGCCUUGGCCUAGGUGGUGAAAGCAGGACUUUAAGUGUGCAGUAGAAAAACAAUUCGCGGGGUUUAAGUACUAUAUAUAACAAUUCAACGAACAACUAAUAAAAGAAAGGUUUUCCCAAGUUUCCUUGAGCAGCAGAAAAACAGAAGUUAUGACGCCUUUCUGUUCUUUGUCGCCAAAGCAUGCAAAACUGGUACAAAGUGUGAGGAAAAUUUAUACACUGCUUUUAACCAUAUUAUAACAAGCAACUUAAAAUAUUACAAGUACAGAACAAAACUUAGGCGAGAACCAAUUGCUGGCAUACCAAACUUCUCAUGCUUCUACAUUGUUCUAAUUUCUAGUGGCUUAAAUCAGAAUACCGAUCAGCAACUAAAAUCUCCAGUUGUAACUCUCAAAAUUCUGUAUCUAAUGUACAAGCUAUCUAAACUAAUUUCUGGACAAUAUAGGUACUUUCAAAAACUCAGCUUCAAUCAAAACUCAAAACUAUUGGCUAUGGUGAAUAGUUAGUAUGGUUUCCUUUCACAUUCAUGUCACAUAGACAGUAACCAUGUUGCUUACUUUAUUAGGACAGGUUCGUAGGCAGUUAUCAGCACAUCUGAGCUAACUCCCUUAAGACGUAUAUUUGCCAAAUAACCUGCAUGUAUACGUCAAGUCAUUGUGUUUAACAUUUCAAAACAAUUGGAGCACGCGAGAGAGAACAUGUAGAGACUUACCCUUACAACAUUUUGCGCUUCCCUUCCUUGUCGUCCCUUAGAAAUAUUCUGUGUACACAUCAUAAUCUAAAUUACAGGACAGAUUAGAAGGCUUACUUGAAAAAAGACAUGCAGGACAAGAACCUUAAAGUUUUAUACCAAUGUAGGUAAGGCAGUCAAGAAAAAAAACAGCCCCAUAAAUAUAUAAAUAUAUAUAUAUAUAUAUAUAUAUAUAUAUAUAUAUAUGAAACGAAUUACUUUUCUUCACCAGACACCACACUAAUAUGCACAAUGUGAGUGGCCACAGUUCUGGAAGUUAACCCAUUAUCAUCAUACACAUCUCCCAUAAACAAGUAUAGAUUAGCUGCACAGUUUUCAUCCUUUUUCAAUAUGCCCUAACUGAGCAAUUGCAGAAAGAACAAUCAACAACGUGGCAUUGUCAGGACACAGAUUACUCUCUCUUUGCAUAUCAUGAAAGAUAUCUAAAGCUUCCAUGCAGUAGCCAUUUUGUACGUAACCACUCAUCAUGGCAUUACAAGCAACAACAUCUCUAUCUGGCAUGUUAUCAAAAAAUUUCCUAGCAAUAUCAACAUAGCCUAAUUUAGCAUACCCAUCAACCAUGUUAGCCCAGCUAAUUAUAGUCCUUUCCGGCAUCCUAUCAAACAAAGUGUUAAAAUAAUAAGUGGCCCAAAAGUAUCCACUCACCUGCACUUCCGUAAUGGCCUCUACCCAUUACUGCUAUUUCUUUGCUUUGCCAUGUAUUUUCAUUUUUUAUCUCCUUGUUUGCUUGUAUAAACAGGCUCUGCAUUUUAAUGCCUUGUAUUUAGUUUUUAACUUCUCUGUAAUUCUCAAUUCUCUGUUAUUGGUUUCCGCUUUAAUAAGCUAAAUUCCUAACAAUUGGUAUCAGAGCUGUCUUAAUUGAGAAUUACUUCCAGAUAUGUCGACGUUCAGCAAGUUCGACAUCGAGAGGUUUGACGGGAAAAUUAGCUUUUCUAUCUGGAGGGUCCAGAUGAAAGCCGUUCUCACCCAGAAUGGUUCAAACAAAGCAUUGGCUGGGAAAUCAAAGAAACCUGCUACAAUGACCGAUGAGCAGUGGGAUGAUUUGGAUGAAAAAGCACUCUCAACCAUUCAAUUGUGCUUAUCUAGUGAGGUUCUACGCGAGGUGGUUGGUGAGACGACGGCGUCGGGGUUGUGGUCAAAGCUGGAAUCACUUUAUAUGACCAAAUCUCUAGCAAACAAGCUACGCUUAAAGGAGCAACUUUACACCAUUCGUAUGGCAGAAGGUACUCCCAUUAAGUCUCACUUAGAUAAAUUCAAUGCGAUUCUUUUGGACUUGGAGAAUAUUGAUAUCAAAAUUGAUGAUGAGGACCGAGCUGUUCUGUUGUUGGUAUCUCUUCCUGUAUCAGAUAAGCAUUUCAAAGAAAUAAUGUUAUAUGGUAAUAUGGAUACCCUUACCUUUGAAGACGUGAAGUCUAAUCUUUUGUCCAAGGAGAAAUUUGACUUAGAAAUUAAGUCCGAAGACAAAGGUGAAGGUUUGGCUGUUCGGGGGCGUCCACUUGAAACAAAGAAUACUGGCAGAAAAUCAAGGUCUAAGUCCAAAGGACGCAAGUCCAACAAAACCUGCAAGUACUGCAAGAAGCACGGGCAUGAAGUGUCAGAAUGCUUCAAAUUGAAGAACAAACAAGAGAGAGAAAAGAAAUCCGCUGAAGCUAGUGUUGUUGCAAGUGAUUCAGAGGAUGACGUUUUGUUAUCUGUUAGCUGCAAUGAUAAACGGAGCAAAACUGAGUGGAUCCUGGACUCUGGUUGUACAUUCCACAUGUGUCCUCACAAAGAUUGGUUCAUCUCUCUGGAACCAGUUGAUGGUGGAACAGUCUUGAUGGGUAAUGACACUCAAUGCAAGGUUGAUGGAAUUGGAAGUGUGCAGAUCAGAACUCAUGAUAAUGUAAUCAGGACGCUUACCAAUGUUCGAUACAUUCCUGAUUUGAAACGAAACUUGAUAUCCUUGGGCACUCUGGAAUCCCUAGGGUGCAAAUACACAGCUGAAGAUGGAGUUCUGAAAGUCAUCAAAGGUUCUCUUGUUCUCAUGAAAGCCUCUCGCUCUGGAAGCUUGUAUGUGUUGCAAGGCAGUACUGUGACAGGUUCAGUAGCAAUAUCCUCAUCAGUGGUUGAUACUGAUCUCACUCAACUAUGGCAUAUGCGUCUGGGGCAUAUGAGUUAGAAAGGCAUGCAUAUCCUGAGCAAGAAAGGCCUCCUAGGAGAUUCUGGUACAGGUAAAUUACCUUUCUGUGAGCAUUGUGUUUUUGGGAAACAGAAGAGAGUUAGUUUCUCUACUGCUACACAUCGUACCAAAGAUGUAUUGGAAUAUAUACAUUCAGAUUUAUGGGGACCAACUAAGGUUGAAUCUCUGGGAGGUUGUAGAUACUUCAUGUUAAUUAUUGAUGAUUUUUCACGUAAAGUCUGGGUUUAUUUCUUGAAGCACAAAAAUCAAGCAUUUUCUACUUUCAAAAGGUGGAAAAUUCUUGUUGAAACACAGACAGGAAAAAAGGCCAAGAAGCUCAGAACAGAUAAUGGUUUGGAGUUUUGCAAUUCAGACUUCAACGAGUUCUGUGAAACAAAUGGAAUUGCCAGACACAGGACUUUGCCAGGAAAACCUCAGCAAAAUGGUGUCGCAGAACGUAUGAACAAGACUCUAUUGGAGAGAGCACGUUGUAUGCUCUCUAAUGCUAGGUUGUGGAAGCGGCGUGACUUCUGGGCCGAGGCUGUUUCCACUGCAUGCUAUUUGGUGAAUAAAUCUCCGCACUCAUCUCUUGAUUUUAAAAUUCCAGAAGAAGUUUGGUCAGGUAAUCCUGUUGAUUACUCUAUCUUGAGAGUUUUUGGAUGUCCUGCUUAUGCUCAUUCUAGUACGGGUAAAUUAAACCCUAGAGCUAUUAAAUGCAUUUUUCUCGGUUAUGCUUCUGAGUCAAAAGGGUAUCGUCUUUGGUUUCCUGAUUCUAGAAAAAUCAUUCUGAGUCGAGAUAUCACUUUUGAUGAGCAAAUAUUAUUCUCUUCUGGAAAAAAUUCUACUGUUGCUCCCAGUACAGGUGAUGAGCAGAAUAUUGGGCAAAAGGUGGAGUUUGUAUUAGAGACCAAUGAGAAUACUACUCACAUCAAUGAUGAUGUUACUGAUGAUGCAUCUACUACAAUUGCACCUCCUACUCAGCCACAACAAGAGUAUUCUAUUGCCCAGGAUCGUCCUAGGAGGAUAAUUAGGAAACCUUCUAGGUAUGAUGAUAAUGAUGAAUCUCAUUUAGUUGCUUAUGCUCUCUCUGUUGCACAGGAAGUUGAAAGUGAUCCAUCUAGUUUUUCAGAAGCUAUUUCUUGUACUAACUCAUCCAAGUGGCUGGUUGCUAUGCAAGAGGAAAUGGAAAGCCUUCAUAAAAAUGAGACUUGGGAACUGGUAGAUUUACCGAAAGGUAAACGCCCAUUGAGUUGUAAGUGGAUCUAUAAAAGGAAAGAUGGCAUCCCAGGUGUUGAGAAAGCACGGUGGAAGGCAAGACUGGUAGUUCGAGGAUUGAUCAAUGCGAAGGUACUGACUUUAAUGAGAUUUUCUCUCCAGUAGUACGUCAUACCUCUAUACGUAUGUUGCUUGCUUUGGUUGCUUUAUAUGACCUGGAAUUAGAGCAACUUGAUGUAAAGACUGCAUUUCUAUAUGGAGAUCUUGAAGAGGAGCUUUACAUGUAUCAACCCGAGGGGUUUGAAGUUCCUGGGAAAGAGCACCGUGUUUGCCGUCUGAAAAAAUCUCUAUAUGGGCUGAAACAGGCACCUAGGCAAUGGUACAAGCGUUUUGAUGCUUUUAUGACUAGACAAGGCUUCUCAAGAAGCAAAUAUGACAGCUGUGUCUAUUUCAAAAGAAAUUCUAAUGGGUCUUUUAUCUAUUUAUUGCUUUAUGUUGAUGAUAUGCUCAUUGCUUCUCCUGACAUGUCUCUUGUGAAUAAGUUGAAGUCUCAACUAAGCAAUGAGUUUGAGAUGAAAGAUCUAGGUGCAGCCAAGAAGAUUCUUAGUAUGGAGAUACACAGGGAUCGUCAAGCCGGUAAACUUUAUCUGUCCCAGAAAAAGUAUAUUGAAAAGAUGCUUGAUCGAUUCAAUAUGUCAAACUGUAAAUCUGUUUCUACCCCACUUGGCGCACAUUUCAAGCUGUUCUCUAAUUCAUGUCCUAAAUCAGAUGCUGAUGUGAUUUAUAUGAAAAAUGUUCCUUACUCUAAUGCUGUCGGAAGUCUUAUGUAUGCUAUGGUAUGCACUAGACCUGAUUUGGCUUAUGCGGUGAGUGUUGUAAGCCGAUAUAUGCACAACCCUGGCAAGGAACACUGGAACGCGAUAAAAUGGAUUCUACGGUACUUAAAGGGUACUUCUUCUUUGGGCUUGGUCUUUGAUCGAAAUUCUUCUGUGUCUACUGACAUCGUGGGCUUUGUAGAUUCUGACUAUGGUGGUGAUCUUGACAGACGUCGAUCACUAUCCAGUUAUAUUUUCACUCUCUGUAACUGUGCUAUCAGUUGGAAAGCUACGCUCCAGUCUAUCGCUGCAUUAUCAACGACUGAGGUGGAAUAUAUUGCAGCAACAGAGGGUGUCAAAGAAGCUACAUGGCUACGAGGUUUGGCUACGGAGCUUGGUGCUACACAAGGUCAGACCAUUAUGUUUUCAGAUAGUCAAAGUGCUAUCCACCUCACCAAGAAUGAUACAUACCAUGCCAAAACCAAACACAUCGAUGUCAAAUACCAUUUCAUUCGUGACAUUGUAGCUGCAGGAGAUAUAAUUGUUCAGAAGAUUCACACACUGGAGAAUCCUGCAGACAUGCUCACCAAGCCUAUUCCUAUUGCUAAGUUCAAACAAUACUUGAGUUUAGUUGGUUGUUCCAGUUAUUAAUCUUAUGGUCGUUUUUGGUCCAAGGUGGAGAUUGUUAAAAUAAUAAGUGGCCCAAAAGUAGUUAGGACUUUUUCAACUCCACUCACCUGCACUUUCGUAAUGGCCUCUACCCAUUACUGCUAUUUCUUUGCUUUGCCAUGUAUUUUCAUUUUUUAUCUCCUUGUAUGCUUGUAUAAAUAGGCUCUGCAUUUUAAUGCCUGUAUUUAGUUUUUAACUUCUCUGUAAUUCUCAAUUCUCUGUUAUUGGUUUCUGCUUUAAUAAGCUAAAUUCCUAACACAAAGCCUGAGCAUCUUCCAUCCUCCCACAUUUCGCACACCAAUCAACCAUUGAUUUCCACGAAAGCAGAUCUCUCAGGCAUUUUCUCAAACAAAUUCCAAGCAAGCUCGAAUCCAUUGUCUGACCGCAUAUACCCUCUCAAUAAAGAAUUCCAAGAAACUAAAUUUCUCCAAUUAAUCGGCAUAACAUCAAACAAUUGACGUGCCAGGUCAAUGUUACCAUGCUUGACAUAACCAGCUAUCAUCGAAUUAUAUGAAACAGAGUCUCUCAUGGGCAUUUUAUCAAACACUUGACGUGCAUACUCUAUGCAUCGACAUCUUACAUACAACCCGAUCAAGCAAUUUUGCAAAAACACAUCAGACCCGAAUUUUAAAUUUCUCAAUAACCCAUGAAUUUUCAUUCCUUCCUUAACCAACUCCAGUCGAGAACGUGCUUUCAAGACCAAAGAAACCGAAAACUUGUCCACAAAAACCCCAUUCUCAAGCAUCAAAGAGAAAAUUAUUAGCGCUUGUUUUGGGUCAUUUCCACGAGAGUGAGUCUUGAUUACAGCAUUCCAGAGAAAAGGGUCCUCUUUGGUGAGAGAGAGAGAGAGAGAGACAGUAUGAUUUUAGUAGUUAAAGAAGUGCUUUUAAUAAACCCAGUUGUUAUCAUCCUUGUAUGGACUUGACUUGUGUCGCUUGCAGUUUUGCAUUUUCGGACAAGAAUCAGAGUUGAUAGCGGUGAAUUCCAGGGCUGUUGAUCUGUACUGGCACAGAUAAGCAUUAAUUGAGCUAAACUUCUUCGAUCUCUAAUUAUUCAGAAUGAAUAGCCUGUUGCAGAAGAUAGGAUUUAACGGUAUUCUAACGCCUAUUCCGCGCGUCACUGGAUAAGCGAUUUGACUGCAUAGGGCUGGCUGAGGUGGGCUGGGCAUGGCAUGGCAUGGUAGGCCCAGACGGCUGAAACAGGUCUAGUAAAAUACAUUCGAGGUAGUCAAGUAAUUCUCAUACGUAAAUAGUAAAAAUAUAUGUUGCAUGAGUAAUAUUUUUCAUAAAUAAAAAUCCAGAUUUUUGGAGCUCUGAGUUUUAAUGCAACCGGAAAUUUGGAUUCUGUUCUACUUAUUUGGCCAAAUAAAAGAAUGAGCUGGUUCUUCUAAAUACAUAUUAAAAUGCUUCAAAUCUCUAACAGUGAUAUGACUCGAGUAAGUAUAUAUAUAUAUAUAUAUAUAUAUUUAAAAAAGUAAGUUCCACAUGAAUUUAAUUAGACACACAAAUUCAAAAUUAUAUGAGAACGAGAUUUGGAUAAUAUUUACAAUCUGUAAACGGUCGUUCGUUUCGACCCCUCUAUUUCCGCACGUCUUUUAAAUGAGUUGUCGUUCCACUAAAAUCUAAUUAUGGUUUGAUUAUAUCUUAUUGGUCCUUCAUAUAUAUAUAUAUUUCUUUUUUUAAUUUCAAACCAAUAAUUUUUAUUUAAUUCAAAUACUAUUUUAAAUUCAAUCAAUUUUGUAAUGCUUUGUUUGACGACAGAAAUAUAUCUUAGCCUGCCAGCACGGAUUUUCAGUAAAUAACACAAAUGCAAAGUUAUUGAAUUUUCAUAUCCUAAUUGGAUUUAACUAAAUACCUCAUGAUUCCUUGAACAAUAUUAAGGAGAAGCACUAUCUCCGGAUCAAACUAAGCAGUACGUGAAAGUGCUUGAACCCUUUAGUCUAUGCCUCAUUGCCUUGAAUUUUUAGCCGUAUAUCACAUACAAAUUUUAAUUAUUAAUCAAGUUUUUCUUUACACCCAUUUCAAUGAGAGACCAUGUUUCUCCUUAAUCAUAAAAGGAUCGAUCUUUUAUCCAUAAAACAUGUCCAACCAAUUGCAAAAAUAUUACAAAAUUUAUUAGGCAGACGGCAUUAUAAAUAACUACUUCACAGCUUCGAUACAGAAAUCCGAUUGCUUAACAUUCUUUGCUUCGCCUUCAAUUACAAACAGAUGAAUUAUGCAACUAAACUCCCUCAACCAAGUAAUUCCAGCACUAAAAAGCUUUAUACUUUCUCAUCUAAAUACCUAAACAGUCAGAAUAGAUUACUCCCAAAACUUUCUUCAUUUCCUUCAAAAAUUCGGAAAUCGGUUGUAUAACUUGAAAAAAAUAUCUAGAUCAACCUAUGUACAUAUAAAACAUCACUCACAAAAAUUAAAUUCAUCAAAAGCUUUAAUUCUAUUUUUUUCAUUCGCCUUUUGAUACCUAAAUCAAUUUCAUUCAUUCACCAUAAGCUCCAUGUAUGGUGUAGCAUGCCAAGUACAUGACACAAAACAAGAAGGGCCCCUCGUAACUGCAAUCAAUCAUUUCAUGGGUGUAAAAACAAUCAUAAUCAUGUUAUGUUGGAAACGACAUUAAUAGUCUAUCUGGCCAUGACUCGAUCUUUUCAAAGUACUUUACGGGCACAACACCAUCAAAACUUUCAGUCAAGAUUACCCUAUUGUCUGAUAUGUAAAGCUUCAUUCCAUCUAAAGUCAACAGAACAACAAAAAAGGUUUUAAAAGAAAGAACAACAGUUUUCAUUCAUGAAUUCCUAACUAGCAAAUGAAAAGUAGAAAUUAUUUAACUUGCAUACUGUUCACUAUGUGCUAAAGAGGUCAAAAGUUAGACUAAUCUACCUUCUAGAGCCUUUUUCAUAUCAAGAUAUAUCAAAACAUUCACAUUCCGCCUCAUAUCUGAAAACAAAAGAAUCAAUUCAAUCAUCAAAAGAUGCACUUUUUACAAGAAUCACUAAAAGAAUUGAUCUUGUAUUUGAAAAACUAUAAUAUAUACUCUGAUUGCUACUACAGUGAUUCUUCUUGUUUCUCUUUAUCAGCAUCCUUCAACUUAAACUACAAAUGAACUUUAGCAUAGAUCCACCAUUUGACAUGUUGAAUACUAGACACUGAAGGAUCAUCUAGUAAGCAUGCCCAAUAAGCUGUCAGGUGAUUGCAGAAAAGUUAUCAAAUAAAUGUACGAAUUCCGAGGAAAUAGAAUCCUCACAGGAUGUAAUACUUAAUUAGGGUCUUCAACAUGCACAAUUAGGGACCCAGUAUUAUUACUAAGUUUAAUAAUUAUCAAAACAAAAUUGACAAAAAAUAAGAUGGAAGUAACACAGCACGUCUUCACAAUACAAGGUUAUGAAUAGUAAGAGAAUAAUGAACUAUACGAUUGAAGAGAAAUCCUACCACUAAUUACUUCACCAUCAGUUGGCAAGCCACAUGAGAAGUGAACAUGCAAUCUUUGCAUCCGCUUUAAGCCAUACUCCAAAAUAAAUCCCAAAUUCUUUUUAUAGGUUCCAUGUACGCACACUACAACCGCAUGAAAAGAUCGCUAAAUAUAUACAAAAACCUUAGAGUAUAUAAGUAAAAGAAAAGGGAGAAGUAUCAUAUGAUAGAACAAUGAUAUUGCAUAAAUUAUUUGUUUUCACCUGGUACUUCAUCAACUAAAAUAAUUGGCUUCAAUAAACUCUCAGAUUUAACUGUCUGUGCACUCAUAACAAAGGCAUUCAAGCAUACAUUCAAUCCAAGAGAAACCAAGGCAUGUCAGGAUCUUUUUCUCAUGUGUUUGUUCAAUUAGUUUUACUUUCACCCAUUUCCUUCUCAACUGAAUAAUCUACAGAAAUAAAAUUGUUUACUGUAAAUCACUUUACAUUUUAAGCCACUAAUAAAACCUUUUUCAAUUCUGACUUUGCAAUUACACACUAAAGACAUCAUUUUCGUUCCUGAUAAUACACAGAUACGAAAAGUUUCCAUUCUAUUGCCAACCGAGCAAUGAAUUAGUAAACAGUUUAAUAUAAGAGAUUAAAUAAUAUAGCAAUAUUUAACACAUCCAAAACUUAGGAAAUUGGACCUGAGAAGCACAGCCCUUGGUAGCACUGGACAUUUUAUGAUCUUUCGUUAACAUUUCUAUGAUCGUUAACAUUUUGUGAUUGUUCUUUCGUUAACAUUUUUAUGAUCGUUCAUUGCCAAUUAUUGUCUUUUCAUAUAUGUUAAUUGAUGCUAUAUAAAGAGGAGUAUCAUGUCUUGGGUCCAAGAAGAUUUUUGUUGAGCUGUAUCAAAGAAAAACAGAACCUUUAUUUUCUUUUAUUUCUAUUUUUGAAAUAUGUAAUUGUUGUAGUUUAUGCAUUGUAGAAUUCAUGACUGGUACAACAUAUGCUGAUUGUUGGGCAUGUAUUUUUUCCUGUGCAACUUCAAUAAAAUUGUACACGUUGAUUUGGCAUUGUGCUUCUCUUACUGGAUGAACUAAAAUAUUGAUUCACUCAUGUUUUCACCAUCUUUUCCUUUUCCUGUCAUUUAAAGGCUGCUUUGUUAAGGCUGUGUGUUUGUGUGUGUUGAAGACGAAAGAAAAGAAGCAAAAGAAGCUGAGGUCUCAGAGGCUGCACAAGCUAAGUUGCUUGUGCAGACCUAUCAUCACAAACCUCAGGAUAAAAGGAGCAUCCUUUCCUGCAAAGCAGGAAAGGUCACUUCAACCCGUACCCUUGCAGAAAGAGUCGUUAGGCAACCGUUAGAAUAGAACACAAUCAAACAAAUUAUGUAUAUAUACCAUUCUUUUCAUUGUAAAGAACUCAGAAUCCUUAAUAUAAAAAUCAAUCCUCUUCACUGUUUUUUUUCACAUGGUAUCAGAGCCUGGUUCCUACCAGUGAUCAUCAUCUACCCAUUUUUUUUAAACCUCAGCCAUGUCUCAAAAUGAAAAAUUGACCAACAUCAUCCUUAAAGGAAACUCCAACUAUUUCGAAUGGUUCAAAACAGUGUAUAUUGCCCUCAGUGGUAGAAAAAGGCUGAGAUAUAUCACUCGGACAAAGCAAAGGCCAAAACCAGAGAGGUCGGAAGCCUCAACAGAAGAAGAAAUUGAAAGAAUAGAGGAAUGGCAGACAUCUGACCACUUGGUCAUGUCUUUGCUCACAAAUAUUAUGGAGCCCCAAAUUUCCAGUUUCUUUAUCCUGAUGGAAUCAUCAAAAUCGAUUUGGAAAAAAAUGCAAAGCCUUUAUGGCCACCAACAUAAUUUUGCAACAGAAAUACUCACACGGUGGGAAGAGUUGCAGAACUAUAUUCCGCCUUCUAUCGACCUGAUAGAAAUUCAAAAAAGGAGGGAACAAGAUCUUGUCUACACUUACCUUGGAGGAUUGGACUAAAGCUAUGAAAGCUUGAGAUCAUAGAUCCUUCUCGCGUCCGAGCUUCCUCGAAUAGACGAAGUGAUAGCAAGUGUUCAGUGGAAGAAACGCGGAUGAACACCAUGAACGCCUCCUCUCCCCCGCAACUUAUGAAAAAUCAUGCCUACAAAGCUCGACGAGAUGUCACUCGACAGCGAGGAGGGCCAAGCGCCAUCGCGCGCUGUGACCACUGCCAAAGGCAAGGUCACUUCCGCGAUGUCUGCUGGCACCUACACCCGCAUUUGAGGCCAUCUCGGGCGUAGGAAGGGGUUGGAACAAUGAGGCGAGGGGGAAGAGGAGAAAGGAAAGGGGGCAGCAAGAGAGAAGGUCUUUACGGGACAAGAGAAGAAGUAGGGUUAGGAAUGGAUGUGUUUGCCGGGGCGGGUGUUUUUAAUCAAACUCGACCCGAACCCGGUCUAACGAUCCGACCCGACUAAACAACCCGUCAUCACUUGGACUCGGCCCAUUCAGCCUUUGGCCUAGUGAUCCCUCCAGCCCAGCAGUCUCUAUGGGCUCCUUCAGCCCACCAAAAUCAGCCCGCCCAUUAGGCCCAGUCAACCCACCAAGAUCAUCCGGCCCAGGCCCAGUCGACUCAUACGGCCCACCAGCCAUCUCAGGCCCAAAUGGCUGACAUCUUGGCCCAACUUCAGGCCCUGGUCCAACAGCCCAACCGGUUCGGUUCAAACCCACCCGAUGGGUCAGGUUUGGUUCAACCACUAUUAAUUCAUCAAAUUACUAUCAUAAUGCUUGGAUUAGUGACUCUGGAGCCACUGAUCACAUGACUUGGGAUCCCACUCAAUUACAAAAAAUUCAUUCUAUCAAAAAUUCCCAUCGUGUGAUAGUUGCCAACGGCAACAAAGUCAAAAUUCAGGGAUACGGCACCACAAAUUUAUUUCAAUCCGAUAUUCCAGAUAUUUUAUUUCUGCCUGAGUUUAAAUCUAACCUUUUAUCUGUUGGCAAAAUUACUCGUGACUUAAAUUGCAACGUUAUUUUCUCACCAUCUUCAGUCAUUUUUCAAGAUCGAAUUUCCGGGAAGACGAUUGGUAAAGGUCAACUAGAAAAUUGUCUUUAUUAUCUGCAUAACCCUCCCAAGCCAUAUUUUGUGUCAACUAAUCCUAACCAAGAUAUGCUUAUGCACCGGAGACUUGGGCAUCCUUCUGAUAUUGUUUUAAAUAAAUUAUUUUGUUCAAAUUUAAAUUCUAGCAAUUGUGAUGUGUAUAAACUUUCUAAACACACGUGUUUACCUUUUUCCUUGUCAUCCAGUAUGUCUAAAAACGUAUUUGAUUUAAUACAUUAUGAUGUUUGGGGACUUGCCCCCGUUACUGCAUAUAAUCACUUUCGACACUUUAUUACCUUUAUUGAUGAUUACUCUCGCACCACCUGGAUUUAUUUAUUAAAAGGCAAAAAUGAAGUUUUUUUUUCGCUUUCAAGAUUUUUUUCAAUUUCAUCAAAAAUCAGUAUAAUGCAAAUUUAAAAAAAUUUCGCUCCGAUAAUGGUACGGAGUACGUAAAUCAAUAUUUUUCUAGCUUUUUUAAACACCAUGAAAUUGGGCAUCAAACCACCUGUAUUAAUACUCCCGAACAAAAUGGAGUGUCUGAACGUAAAAAUCAACAUCUUCUCAAUGUCGCUCGCACUCUCCUUUUUCAAAAUCAUGUGCCUUCUAUGUUUUGGUCUGAUGCCCUCUUAACCGCAGCCUAUCUCAUAAAUCCACUUCCCACUGUCACCUUAAAAAACCUCAACCCUCUAGAAAUUCUCAAAAGCCUAAAAAUAGCAGUAAGUCAUCUUUGAGUUUUUGGAUGUGUUUGCUAUGUACAUAUCAAGCGCUCAUACAAACUAGACAAAAGCUCGGUCAAGUCUCUCUUUCUAGGCUAUUCCUCCAUCCAAAAAGGGUACAAAUGCUAUGAUCCUUUAAACCACAAAUCUUAUGUUUCUCGUGAUGUCACCUUUGUUGAAACUGAACCCUACUACCCACCCCCCAUCGGUGUUGUUUUUCCUCCUGGAUCGUGUCAAUCUUUAUUUCCGCUUAACUCUGAUUCUUCUCUUAGUAGCUCUGAACAGGAUUAUCAGCCUCAGGGGGAGUCACCCACUGUCUCAAGGCCACUUCCUUCAGGGGGAGAAACUCAACCUCAAGAAGAAGAAGAAAUUACCUUGAGAAGAUCCACUCGUCAAUCCAGACCUCCUGUAAAAUUUAGAGACUAUGUAUCUCAUACCGUAACAUAUCUAAUUUAGAAGUUUAUUUCCUAUAAUGUCUUAUCUAACCAAUAUUGCAACUACCUUUGUCAGAUCUCAAACCAUACUGAACCCACAAAUUUCUAUGAAGCCAACACUGACCCUAAAUGGUGUAAGGCUAUGGAAGAAGAACUCCUUGCCUUAGAGAAAAAUGAUACAUGGAGUAUUGUUCCUCUUCCACAAAAUAAAAAAUCCCUGGAAUGCAUUGAAAGAUACAAGGCCAGACUUGUAGCCCGAGGCUUCACUCAAACCUAUGGAGUUGACUAUCAAGAGACAUUUGCUCCAAUAGCCAAAAUGAAUACGGUCAAAAUUCUUCUCUCAACAGCAAUCAAUUAGGACUGGAAUCUAUUCCAAAUGGAUGUCAAGAACGCCUUCCUACAAGGCAAUUUAGAAGAGGAAGUUUACAUGAGACUACCCCCUAGUCAUAAGUCAACCUCAGACACUUCUCGGGUAUGUAAGCUAAAAAAGACUAUCUAUGGCCUAAAACAGUCCCCGAGAGUAUAGUAUGCCAAACUCAGCCAUUUUUUAUUAAGUAUUAAUUUCAGUAAAUGUGAAUCUGAUUCAUCUGUGUUCGUUAAAAACACUUUUAAUCACACUAUUAUUAUUUUAGUGUAUGUUGAUGAUAUUAUAAUAACAGGGAAUGAUGAUCAAGGAAUAGAGAAUGUCAAAUAAAGUCUAAAACGAGAAUUCGACAUCAAAGAUCUUGGCCAACUGUCAUAUUUCCUAGGCAUAGAAAUAGCAAAAUUCAACAAGGGCUUAUUUCUAUCUCAAAGGAAAUAUACCCUCGACCUUUUAAAAGAAACUGGAAAAAUAGGUGUUAAACCUGCCAUCACCCCUAUGGAAAUCAAAAUUAAACUUAACCUAGAAGAUGGAGACUCCUUAACUAACAUAGGGCAUUAUCAGCGCUUAGUAGGAAAACUGAUUUAUCUUACUGUCACUAGACCUGACAUUUCAUUUGCAGUUAGUAUGGUGAGCCAGUUCAUGCAUGCUCCUCGCACCAGUCACCUAGAAGCUAUAGAUCGAAUCCUCAGAUAUCUCAAAGGAACUCCUGGAUAAGUAAUCUGGAUGAAGAAGAACAAUACUACUAACAUAGUUAGUUUUUCUGAUGCAGAUUGGGCUGGAAGCUGUGACAGGAAGUCAACCACCAGUUACUGUGUCUUUGUAGGAGGAAACUUGGUGACUUGGAAAAGUAAAAAACAAAGUGUAGUGGCCAGAUCAAGCGCCGAAGCUGAAUAUCGUGCAAUGGCAUCCACUGCAAGCGAACUCAUUUGGAUCAAACAAGUCCUCAAAGAUAUGAAAAUUAAAAGUAAAGAACCAAUGCAAAUGCAUUGUGAUAAUCAAGUUGCUCGACACAUAGCAUUGAAUCUGGUGUUUCACGAACGAACCAAACACAUUGAAGUUGAUUGCCACUUCAUCAGAGAAAAGGUUCAAAAGGGAGAGAUUGAGACUCCUUACAUCAGAAGUCAAGACCAACUGGCAGACAUAUUCACAAAGGCCCUGUAUAGGCAGAAUCAUCAUUCGAUCCUCAACAAGAUGGGUGCAAUAAACUUAUUCAAACCCACCUUGAGAAGGAGUGUUGAAGAAGGAAGAAAAGAAGCAAAAGAAGCUAAGGUCUCAGAGGCUGCACAAGCUAGGUUGCUUGUGCAGACCUAUCUUCACAAGCCUCAGGGUAAAAGGAGCAUCCUUUCCUCCAAAGCAGGAAAGGUCACUUCAACCCAUACCCUUGCAGAAAGAGUCGUUAAGCAACCGUUCGUAUAGAACACAAUCAAACAAAUCAUGUAUAUAUACUAUUCUUCUCAUUGUAAAGAACUCAGAAUCCUUAAUAUAAAAUUCAAUCUUCUUUACUGUUCUUUUUCACAGUGUGUGUGUAUAACAAUGUGUUCAGUUGCAUUUACUUCUUAUCCUUGUUUAAUGCAAAGAUCUUUCCUUUUAGAACACCCUCCCUUUAAUAUGAGGGAAUUGUAAAUCCUUGUUCCAUGAUAUGCUGGUAAUUAUUAGCAAUCUGUAGAAGCAUGAUGCCAUGUGGUCACAUGUUCUGGCUUAAGUAAUCUAAUAUAUGUGUGUGCUAUGCGGUCACCUGCAAUCCUGAAUUUUGUUUUGAGGUUUGCCUUCUUUUCUUCUUAAAACCUAUUUUUCUAUCAUCCCAUAGUUUUAUGCUUUGGGACUUCGAGUUAAAUUGAUUGUGGGCUUUGGCUUAUAGGAUAUGAGUGCAGUAUGUAUGUUGCACUGUGCUGCAAUCAGGAAUGCUUCCUUCUCAUAGUUUUCAGUAUCCUGAAAAAUAAACAUUGUUGGGUUAGUUUGAGCUACACUUCUCUUGCAUACUCCAGCCAUAUAGCGUUUCCAAUGAAAACCAUGUAUUGCAUAUGUUGAACUUCAUCAUUCAAUUUUAGUUAUUCACUUGCCAUAUGAAAAUAUAUGAGUUUGUUAUUAAGCAUUGAAUUUUUUGUUAUUGAGCAAUGAAUUUUUUGUUAUUGAGUUUCCUACUGCCUUUGAUUUGUCUUUCAUUAACUGCUUGAUUGUUUUUACUUCUAAUCUGCGUAACUGGCCUAACUAUGUAGGAGACUGAAUUGGUCCUUUUUCUUUUCUCUAUCUAUUUUCCCUUAGAGACAAAAAGAACCGCUAAUCUUUCUGAGCAUCAACUACCAUCAUCCUGACUAUAGUCUAGGCUAGAGAGAAUUGUGAUAAAGUUGGUUGUGCAAUGAAUGUUCUUUCAUGGAAAUGUGCUUAGUUCACAAGAUAGGAAGAAAAGUUUCGAGGACUGGUAUGCACAUUCAUGUAACUGGAAUCUAGUAGCAAGAAACUGUCUUUCUACAGACCUGCACUGUAAAAAUAUGAUAGGCGGAGCCUCUUCUUAAAACUUAAUAUGUAUAUAUAUUUAUAGUCAUGGACGGUAUAUUGUUGAGAAUUUGAGCUCAAUCUUCACAGAUGCGUAGAUUUGUGAGAGGUGCAUGGUUAGGUACAUGGACCAUAUUUUUUUCAAUAUUGUAGAUCCCGUGACACUGCUAAUUGAUUUUGCAUUUACAAGAUCAGGACCAGCUUUUUGAACCUUAACAAAACUACUUACUAUCAAGACUACAGGGUUCAAUCUGAAAUGUAGUAUUACCUUUCUUUUUCUCAUAUUAGCAUCAAAACUUUUCAAUGGGCGCAAUGCAUUUUGAAUCAUCCGUGCUGAUUGCAUCACACUCUAUUCAAAUAGUGAGUUCCUUUUUAACAUCUUAUUGCCGCAGAAGCACUCCCCAAUUUCCCGUUUGAACAAUGAAGUUGUCUAAACUACAUACUAGAGCUCAUACUGGCUUUUCAUAAAUUAUUAAGCAAGCAUCAUAAAUUAACUUUUUCAUUUCUAAAGUUAGGUGAUCAAACAAAACUGUAAAUGCACUUUUAUGAAGAAACCUAUCAAAUGCUAAAUAAGUAACAAUUGCCGCCAACCAAAAAUAAAAAUCAAGAGAAUUUGAAAAAAGAAGAAGCAAGUAUUACAUAUCAGAAAUCAUACUUAGUUCUACCACUCAUUAAAAUAAGGCACAACAUAUCAGAAAUGUCAGAAGCAGAUCUGAAGAAAUUCCAUGAUUCGAGCAUUAAACGUUUCCUUGAUCCCUUAAAAUGCACCACCUUGACAUCCAAAGGCAUUCCGUGAAAUUGACCUGCUCCCUCAGGUGGUGUCCAAUUAUAUGUAGCACAUGGUAGAAAGAGCACUGAUGCACCUCCCAUCUCAUCCAUAAAAGCCUGUGCUUUGCGAAAUCUCCGCAGAUCAAAGCCGGGGUGUGACCUUAUGACCCAUGCAAGAGCUAACUGAUCUCCAAGCAUUCGAGAAGCAUUCAUGUACUUGGAAGUGUAGACUUCUAGCACAUGCUGAAGGAAAAUCUUUGCUCUACAGCCAAUUUAUUUCAUGAGCAAGUGUCAAAGAUUUAGCAAUUUAAUUUUCUAUUUGCCUAGAAUUUGGAGAACAUAAGGAAAAAAAAAGGGAGAAAGCCAAAUGACAAUUGUUUCUCCCAAGUUAUAUACCAAAAAACCCAAAAAAAGACCCGAUUGAAUCACUACCCUAGCUAACCCACAAGGUUGUGCAGGAUCAGAAUUAGAGUCUGAAGAACCUAGGCAAACCAAACAACAAGAAAUAUCCAAACAGUUUUUGCAAUCCAAUUAAUCACAGUGAAAAAGGGAAUACUAGCAAAUGCAAAUUACAUACCUCAAAAUUGACUCGGCAGUCCCCCUUACUGCAAUAAACCCAGAAUUUAAAGGCUGCUCUUUGUUGUUGCGGAAGGUGAGGGCUAUAUGGAAAUUUGGAUAUUCAUGAAAAAUGCGCCCUAGGUCAUCAACCACAGCUAUAUCCGAGUCUGUAAAGAUGUAAUGGCUUUUAUGCACUGGGUUCUUAGCAAGCUCCUUGAGCUUCAUGUCUAGAAAAUUCUACAUAAACAACAUACAAAGUGCAAAAGAGAAAUUCAUCCGCUCAUCAGCAGUAUGCAUAUUUUGGAAGAAAAUAAGAUAAAGCACUGCAAUGGAGUUCAUUAGGACUUGUUGGCUUGGUGGGAAGUCAGAAUAUCAGGAAAUCUUGUGCAGGAUAAAAACAAAAGCAAGAAUAAGAAGGUUCACAAAAGAUGCCAUAGAAACAAAACAACAAAUUCAAAACAGAAAUAUUCUGCUUAUUUGGCAAUGCGACGAGCCCUUACAAUGUAAGAUUUGAUUCUUUGAAGCAUCAAUUUUUCUCGAGAAUAUUCUCCCUGAAUAGGAUACAGAGUGACUUUAUAUCUUUGCAGCGAGAGAUCAGAUGCUGGAUCAGUUAGGAUGAUAACAUUGCUUCGAGGCAUAGUCACCUGAAAUUGUAAUUUUGAAAUAAGAGUCUCAAUAGCUACACAAUGGAAGCAAGUGGACAUGGUUUGGAUUAACUAUUACAUAGAUAUGAUCCGGUAGUUAUUAGGCAGAACAUACAAAAUUGAAAGAAAAUUAUAUAACUUCCAAAAGCUAACAAAAUGUCAUCACAUAUAUUAUACAUUUAGAUUAAACAUUUUCAAGCAUGACUUCAAUGGAAUCAAUUACCUGAAUGAAAUUAAUGAAUACAUUCAAAAUGGCCAUUGACCUCUCCAUCUUACUGUAAGAAACAUUCCCAACAGUGACUAAAUUUGAUGAUCUAUCAUCAGGAAUAGAAUCCAGUGAAGUGUUGUAAAUGGUAAAGACGGUAACAAAUGCAACGUUAUCUCCAACAUUGGAGCCAGAGGAAGAAUCUAGCAAAUGGGUUUUGUUGAGAGCUUUGGAGCCUAGACAACAUUAAAAACAUGAAUCACAUAUACAACAAGCAAAGCAACAGUAAUUAUGCAAGAAACAAUAACAAGUAAAAGAAAAGUAAAGACUAUAAGAA
rnacentral:lncRNA from 1 species